UUUUUUUUUUUUUGGGCAAGGAAUAUUCCAAUAUAAUCAGAUUUAACUAAAUGCCUUAAUAGACAAGAAUGUGAUUGCUAGAGUUGUUACUUUAAUAAAGGAAAAGAGCAGAGAAGGAAAAAAGGACUUGACAGUGCAGGCUAUACGAUCCUCCCCAAGGGAACCCAAGCCCCUUUAAAUUCAAGAAAGGAAGAUUAUGAAAUUGGGACAAAGUGUAAUUCCUCAGCUGAAGCUAACUCAGGGGUCCCCUGUCCGCCCUUUUUCUUUUUGAAAUGGUCCCUUGAUCAACAGGUUUGGCGGCAGGACAGCUAAUGGUCAGAAGAGUUUUGGGAAAAUUUUGGACAUCGGAACCGUAUUAUAUUACAUGGGAUUGAAUCUCCCCCUUCUUCUUGGUUCAAGGGAAACUGAAACAAAAUAGGAAACAGUGUUGCAAGAUAUCUAGGUAAAAGUAUUCAUUUCUCUUUUGUUGAUAAUAUUGAUCAUCUACUUCAAACUGUUUGUUCUUACUCCUAAAGCUAGUAUUGUUGGUUUACUGGGCACAGAAGGUUUGGACUCUCUAGGAUUCUUGGGGUUCUGCUUUUGUAUGGCGGCCAUAUGCUUUGUUUUUUAUUUUAUUACUUAUUAAAUCUCAUAUCAUUCUUAGAUAUUUGAGAAUAUUAUUAGAUAAAUUUAAUAUUGUCUUGAUGAUUGGAGAAGGGUGGUUUGGUUUCUCUGAGUUGUUGUUGUGGCUUUCAGCCUUAUUCUGGUUUUUUAUACUUAUAUUCUCAAAAUUGGUACAGGUGGUUUACUAUAGAAAUGUUCCUCGCAUGGCUUGUUCUGCUGCUAAAGCUUAGGGACUUGAAGCACGCAUACGUUUUACUGUUAUUAUUGUCAUCAUUUGGUUAUUUCCGCUUCCAAAUAUGCUAAAACUGAAAGUCAUGUUCUUUUUCAGGACUGGAUAUCUCAACGGGAUGGAAUAAGUGAAAGGAAGCAGGGAAGAUUAGCAUUAAUCAUGGAAUUCCAUAUGGAUGGUUCUAGUUAAACAUGGGGUGCAUCGGACACAGUCUCGCUUUUGGUCUUAGUUGUUAUAGCCUUAUAGGUGUUUUCUGAUUGCGCUACUACUCUUGUAGUUGUGACCCUCUCACAUUUUGUUCAGCUUAGUCAGGGACUAUUAUGCAGUAGUUGUUCUAAUGCUUAACCAUGAAAAACCUCAGUGGUUUUAUAUAAGCAGCUACUUACUACAUGCUACAUUUUGCUGUAAAGUACUAAAGGGAUUUGCCCUUACCACAUUAAUAGCGGUGUAACAUCCAUUCUGUCGUAGGAGCACAUACUCUUAUUUAUUUCUGCGAGCAUUAGAAGUUCCUUUUUAUCCAUUCGUUUCGGUGCGACCAAAAAUAAAGUGUGUUGCUUUCCUAUAUAGACUGACGGCACUUUUAUGAGAGAGCAUCGGCCUUUGUGAAGUUAAGUGCUGUGAUUUCCUCAGUAACCGAUUAGCAGAAGUCCAAACAAAUAGUAUCUUCCCACGUCCUCUACGAAUAAACAAGUAAUCCACCUUUCUAUUUAAUGACAAUCUGCCAUUAGGAAUAAUGGGACAAACUAGUUUCGACUUUCUUUGUCCAUUUAUCGUAACCGAGGAAACAAUAAUUGUGGGGGUCUCAUAAAUACCUUCAAUGAAUCCGUAAAAAGGCUACUAGCUUUAGGUACUAUGAAUUCUUUGGCAUAAAGAAAUUCAAGCGUUACUAGUGCAUCGACCUUUCCUACUCUAACUAAAAUUAAUGGCUAAUAAAAGUCACCUUUGUACUUAUCUCUUGAAUUCUUAACUGUUUCAAAAUUUAAUAAAGAAUUCUAUCACAACCACAACACUUUUGAAUUCAAAACUACAAAAAGGCCUAUCCUUUUUUUUUUUAAAUUUUGGGUUAAAGUUAGCAAAAGUUCUACUUAUUUUCACCUUUCUUGUAAAAAAUAUUUUUUGUUGCAAUUUCAAAUUUUAGUUAUUCAUUCGACACUAGUACGGGCAUAGAUACGGAUUAAGCAACCAGUUUGAGGAAUAAUAUUUUUUAUUAUAAAAUUAAUUUGAAUUGAAUUAAUAAUUUGAUAUUUUCACAAUAAAGUGUAAUUUUUUUGUCAUUUUUCAAAAAAAUUUAAGAAAUCUAUAUUUUAGCAAUUGUUGUCCUUAAAAUUGUCUUAAUUGAAGUUCAUUAAGAAUAAUUGAAGUUCCGAUAUCAAUACUCUAUUCAACCUAAGUAACAAAAUAAAUGAUAGCUUAACAAACGAAAUAUGCGUUCAAUUGAUCGUGUUCGAACUACAUAUUCUGUUAAUGGUUAGUAUAUAUGAAAUUGUACUUUCCAUUUGUAGAAAAUUAAUAUGCAUUUUAUAUCUACUAACGAAUAAAUUACCUAUGUUUUGAACAAAUCAAACCUAAACUUAUGGUGUGAUAUGUAUAUAGUUGCUCACAUUUAUACUUAUGCCAUCAUCCUUUCUUCCACUUGCUUUUUAGUAGUGCAAAUUUCUUUUGAUUAUAUUUAGGGGUGGUAAUUUUCGAUACGACCUGAAAAUACAAUAUGAACCUAACACGAAAUUAAUUGAUUCGGAUUGAGGUUUCGUGGGUUCGGGUCAGAAUCGAGUCGAAUCCGACAAACCCGAAAAGAAAAUGGGUCGAAUUCGGGUCAAACCGUGGGUGACCCGAUACGACCCGAUCACCUGUUUAUGAAUUAAAAAUUAUUUUACCUAACUAAACUAAGUUAUUCUUUUUUUUUCAAAGGCAUUCAUCACUUAACCCUAAAUGAAUUUAUUUAACUUAUUUGAAGUUGAAAUUAUUAUAUUUGGACAAAUAAUGUAUUAUAUUAUUUUUUACUUUUAUAUUGCUUUUAUUUAUUUUGUAUUUGGUUCGGAAUAAAACACUUUUACGGUGUUUUUAAUUUAUUUUAGAUUAGGUUUGGGAUUAUUUAUUUAAUUUUUAUUACUUGAUUAUGUAAUUAGUCUUGUGCGAAUUAGAAAUUACAGUGGUAAAUUAAUAAAUUAAAAUUACGUUUUGGGUCAUUCGGGUCGUCCCGCCAACCCGACAACCUGAAAUUUUCAGAUUCGGGUCAGAUAUCCUGACCCGUUUCGGGUUGGCGGGUCAAGUUCGCGUCAGACAGUUUUCUAUUAUACCUGGGUCUCAACUCGACCCGCCACUCCGAUUUGGACCCGGUUGCCACCCCUAAUUAUAUUGGUAAAAAAAUAACAUAUUUUACAAAUUAUUCCAAUUUAUUUAGAAAAUGUUACUAAUUCCAUUAGAAGCAUUGAAAUGUAAUCAUGGUUUAUUAAUUUUUUACUAAAUAUAAAUACUACAUACAAAAGGAAAAUAUAUUUGACUUUGUUUUACUUUGAUUAGAAAAACCUGUGGUAGAAAUAACGAAAUAGUAACAGGGGUGCAAAUUUCAAAUCAACAACCAACGUACACUUAAUUACGAUCAUUUUGUAGUUGACCAAACUAAUAUAUGCCAUAAAGUAGUAAGAUUUGAUCAUUUAUAAAUUGGCAAUUUUAGCAAUUUUUUUAACAAUUUAUAUACCAUUCACCUAUAAAAAUUAUGAUUAUUAUAAAAUGCUAUUUUAUAAUAAUUUACAUACUAUUUGCCAAUUAAAAGUAAGUUUCAUAAAAAAUGCAUAUAAAUCCAUACUUUAAAUGAUACAAAAUAUAUUUGAAUCUCACGAAACUUAAUAUGUGGGUAAAUUUAUUAUAGUUUUCAAAGAUUAUGCCACAUUAGUACAAAUUUAACUGUUAUACUUGUUGAUAAGUGACUAAUUUACGUAAUAAUUGUAUGACAUUUUAUAUUAUUUUUAGUCACUUUGGUUAUAUUAUUGGAAGAAUAUGAAUCAUUUUGGCUAUAAUUGGUGAAUAAAUGUUUUUAAGUGAUUAAAUGAGGUUUUUAUCACUUUUUACUUGGAUUUUGUGUAUUUUGACAGUUUUGACACAUUCUCGUAUUUCAGCUAUAACUUGAGUUACAAUGAUCGGAUUGGGAUGAUUCUUGAACCCAUUUGAAGACAAGAGAUAGAUCUACAACUUUGGUGAAGACAUCUAAAUCCAGUUUGAAGGUUUUCCAGGUCAAAAUGCCGAAUUACAAUAGCAAAUUUCUACUGGUCGAAGCUGGAACAGGGCAAUGAGCAGGCAAGGGUAUUUCAGUCAUAUCUCAGCCUACACAGAUCCAAAUGAGGUGAUUCUUAAUGCAUUAGAAAGAUAACUCAAAAGGCUACAACUUUCGUGUUUUAGACAUGAGCUGGUUCAGCCUCUAACAUCAAGAAAAGAUUGGUUGAAGUUGGGCCAAAAACAGAGCAAGUGAUCCACACUCGGAUCCACUAUUCAUCCGAACCCUCGGUUGUUUCUGGGUUAGUGGAUCCGAGGUACUGUAGCAGCUCGGAUCACUGGUCAGAAAAGGCUGCUCUGUAUGCGUAAAACUCAAUUUCACCUCCACCAACUCACAUUGGAUGCUAGACAUGUGAGAAACAUUCCCAGCUGUAAAAGGGAGAUGUAAUCCUCAUUUCUUGACCACCUUUCAUCAUUAAAUAGCCAAAUUCAUUGCAAAAAAGGAGAUGGGGAGUUCAUAGCAGAAAAUAGAGAGAGACAUACGGGAGAAGCUGGAAGUUGCAGAAAUGUAGCUCUUUCAUUUCCUUAGUGUAGGAUAGUUUAGCUAGUGUAAUUCAUCCACUCUUGUAUAUUGCUAGACUAGGAUUAAGAUGGAGAUGAAGAAGGCAAGGAAGAAAGCUCAUGUGACAAGGGUUGUAUUCCUUCUAAAUUCUUUAUCUUUUGUAUUUGAUUCCAAUUUUAGUUAAUAUACAAGUUCUGGAUUUUGUGUUCAUUAUGUGUUUCUAAAGUUUAAGCCUUGGGUUUGGUUGAACUUUCUAUGAUUGUUAGUGUUAAUUGUUUGGUUAUUUGACUGCUACGAUUUGAGCAAGUUAUUUAGCACUUUGGCUCUUUAAAUCAUGAUUAAUCUGGUACCAUUAAUUGUGAUUAUCUAAGGUGUUGUUUCUGCAAUGGAAAUUGAGAUUUAACACUAGUUCAAGAAGUGCUAAACAUAGGAAGUACACUCACGAAAGUAGAGGUGCACUUAUGUGGUUUUUAGUGAUUCAUUUCAUGUAAUUUCAUUGAAGAAAUGAACUUGUAGCUAAUUUCAUAACCAUGAAAAUAGGUAUGGAUUAGUUAUGAGUAUAGUUGAUUCACUACGAAAGUAGGUUUCACAUGUUUAAGGAAAUUACACUAUAACUAGCCUAGAUGUAGUAAUUAAUUAUCCAAAUAUAGCACUUGCAUGAGUAGUUAGGGAUACCACAACCCAGGGAGCUUUUAUUUGCUAUUUUCUUGCAUAAUUUCAGUAGGUUUUAAUUUGUUAUAAUUCAUUGAUAGUCUAAAUAAUAGAGAAGCUUUAGUAGUACCGGUAAUUGCAAUCUUCCUUGUGGGAUCGACCCUUAAUACCCUAUACUCGCUCACGAUUCGUAUACUUGCGAUAAAUCGCGUGUGGGGUAUUUAGGAGUUUAUAAAUGUAAAACUUGAUUAGGAUGAGUUUAAUUGUAUAUGUAUACUCCGCGCACGUCAAGUUUUUGGCGCCGUUGCCGGGGAAGAUUUGGCAAUAUCGGUGUGAAGAGUAACUUUAUUAGUUUAGACAUUUUAUUAGUUUUUGUGUGAAUGUUAUUUUCUGUCAUUUUAGUAUUUUCUGUGUGUAUGCAUUUUAUCACCUAUUCUUCUUACUAAUUUUGCUCUUAAGUUGUUUAAAAGCAAUUUUAGGUAAUGAGAAGGGUAGGUCAAUUUGGAGGACAAUGCUUGAGAAGUGGAAGAUUGGCAAUGGAUGGUUACCAAGUGCAAAGCUCCUUCAACAGAGGUAACCAAGAAUUUACUGAAUGUAUGUCUUUUGAAGAUGGUUUAAGGUGCUUAAAGGCAAAAUUUGAUGUAAUUAAGUUACAAGUUCAAAUGGACACCAUGAUGCAUGAAAUUGAGCAGAGAAGGAAUGUUAAUGCUUUUAAUUCUUAUCAUGUGAUUUGUGACUUGUGUGGAGGUUAUCAUGCUACUAAUACAUGUAUGCAAGCACAAAAUGUGGAUUAUUAUGAUGAAUUAGAGCAUUACAAUCCUUGUUUUGAUCAAUAUAGUGCUAAUUGGAGUAAUUCUCCUGCUUAUGGUUGGAAUAAUCAAUGUACUUAUAGUGAUAAUUCAUAUUUUUAUGAUCACCAACCUGAAAGUGUCCAAUAUGAAUCAAAACCAUCUUGGGAGUUGGCAAUAGAGAAGUUAGCUAAUACACAUCUACCUUGGGAGUUAGAAAGUGAACCAUUAGCUAAUGAUUCUAAUGCAUCUUGGGAGCUAGCUGUAGAAAAUUUUUCUAAUCAAUUUGAUUUAGCAAUAGAAAAGCUAGCAAAUGCAACUUCCGAUCGUUUUGAUAGGAUUGAGGAAAGAAUAGAUGAAUUAGCUUCUCACUUUGGUCGAAUACAUGAGCAAUUGAAUGCAUUGUGUGAAGUUAUUUCCUCUAAUAAUGUGCAAAAUGAUCCUAGCAUGAAUGAUGGGAAUGUUGUAUGUGAAAAUGGGUUGCAUUUUGAUGAAAAUGAUGAUAGCCUGUUUUAUGAUGUUUCCGCUAGAAUACGUUCUGUGAAUCUGUUUUUAUGAUUCUGGUAUAGUAUCUUGCAUUUUUGACCUGGUUACACUCGAAACUGGGUUGAGUGACCUUCUGAAAUAUUGUAGCCCUGUCUCUUAGCUUCAAAACGGGCGGUCUUUCACCUUCAUCUGACAUCGUAGCGCCUUUGGUACCAUUACCGCAAAAUGACGUCAAAACUGUUUUUCUGGUUUUGAGCUUAACUUUCAUUUCCGAACUUUUCCUAGCUUGACUUGUACUAGUACUACUUGGAGCUUGCUGAAUGGCUAUUGGAAGAACUUGUUGUUGUGUGUGUGUACCUUUGGGACUGGAUGAGGAAAUAAUGAAGCCAUGAUGGCUGGAAAAGUUAGUAAAUUCAGGGGAAGUGCUGUCCGAACUUUGAAGGGAUUUGUUUGCAUUGAGUUUGUGAUCUAAGACUUGGAUUUGAGCAAGGCAAUGUUAUAUGCUGGAUGAUUUCUGAGCCGUGGAGAUGAGUGACCCUAAAUUAUUUCCAAAGUACUUGUGAAAUGUUUCUUGCAUUAUGUACUCGAUUGCAUCUCAUGCGUGCUUGCUUGCCUGUGAAUUCAUGACAUGAUUUGGCUUCAAUGAGUUCUGGGAAAGUCUUGUGUUGGACACCAACGUCUCCACCAUUUUCGUAAGUUCGUGACAUGACGGAGCAAAUGGCUCCGGAGCUCAAAAAGGGGCUCCCUCUUAAUGUUAAUGUUAAUGUUAAAUGAUCUAUUUGAGCGUUGGGUGUUCAAGUGCUAUGACUUCACUGGCUCACGAGAGCAAUAAACGGACAUUUGUUCUUUGAAUCAUGACAUCAUCGAAAGGAUCGAAAUGCAAUAUUGUGAAAUAUAUUUGAUUACUGAUUUUACUGGUUACUCGCUGAGCUUCUAGCUCACCCCAAAAAUAUUUUAUUCCCCUCCACAGGGCUCGAGUCGAAGGAAACGUUUGUAUUAAAGUUCUCCGUGUGAAUGGCUGGUAUCAAGGAUCAGAGUGGCGCAGCGGAAGCGUGGACGCUUCGCUUUUGAUAUGUAAUUCUUGGAGAAUUUAAUGUAUAUUUGAGAUUUAUAUUGUAAUUUAAUUGAGGACUUUAGUGAACGACUGAGUCCCGGCGAGAGCUGGGCAGGCGGCCCCUGAACCCUCUGGUUCGCCUUAGGGGGAGGUGGGGCUGUCACAGUUGGUAUCAGAGCUUAGGCUUCAGAUCUCUGUAGUGUAUCCUAGGCUUGAAGUUUAGGAUGCCGGACUGUGGGUUUGAUUUGACUCUUAGUGUUUACUUGGAAUGCUUGAGUGAUUUUUGCGGGAUGUCUUGACUUGAUUGAUACAAGAGGGAAUGUCGAGGACGACAUUCUUAUAAGGAGGGGAGUUUGUGACGCCCUGAAAGUACGAGUGUGAGAACCCGAAAAAUUUUCUAAUUUUCUAGGGUUUAUUUUAUUUAAUCGCCCGCUUUUUCUACAUUUUCUUUAUUAGAAAAUUUCCUCAGAUAAAGUUUAUGAGCAAAGAUAGUUUUAAAAUAUAUUUUUCUAUAUCGGUUAGUUUUUGAGAAAUUAAGAGCGUAUUUUGAACGUGGGACCCGCAAGUGCGGUAAAUGCAUUAUAUUUUUGACAACUUGUUGGAAUUUUGUAUUAAGUGAUAUUAUUUUACAAAGUGUUAAGAUAUUUGUAUUGGAGAGACAAAAAGAUAAGUUUUAAACCAAAAAGGUGACAAGUGUCACCUUGUGAUUUAAUCUUGGACUUUGACCAUUAUUUCUUACCUUUACUAAUACUCAAUUUUGACCCAAAAAUCAUCCUAUUUCUAUGCUUCAUGGCCGGCUCUCUCUCAAAGGAAAAGAAGAAAAAUCUCUCAACUUUCUAGCUUCUCAUCUCACUCAAUCUUCAAUUCUAACCGAUUAAACUUGAAUUUACUCCAUAAAACCUCUUAGUUUGGUGGAGUUGAGCUUGGUUGUGAAGUUGUUUGGAAAGCUAAGGUGACUAAUUUGUCUAUCUCUUGUAUUGCUAAGGUGAGUUGUGAAGAACCACUUUCCUUCCUCUAAUGAUGUUCAAUUCAUGAUUGGUGGUGGUAUAAGAUGCACUUUUAUGGAUUAUAUCUUGUUUUGGUUGAAUUGGUGAAGUUUUAUAAUUAUUGGGGAUUUUUCUGUUUUCAUAUGGAUAUGAUUAUGUGGUAUGAUGAUGAUUGGAAAUGAUAUUUAAGGAGCUAGAGGUGGAAAAAGUGGUUAAUUGCAACAAUUUCUGUUUGGAAGAAAUUUCAGAAAACUUAGGGUUCUGAAGAGCAUUCUGUCCGAAUUUUUAGGUCCUAGAUAGAGGCCGAAUUGGCUUUGUCUUAAAACAUGAAAGUUGUAGGGAAUGACAUUUUAGAGGUGCCUACAAAAUUUCAGGUCAAUCGGAGUAGCGUAGAAUGAGAAAAGUCGAAAUUACUAUUGCUGUUCUGGUUUUACCCGAAUGAGAAGUGCGCCUGUAAUUGGGUUUUUUGGCUGGAAUUGCUUCCGAAUUGGUUGUUGAGGUCUUCUGAUGAAAUUUAGCCCUGUUUCUUAGCUUUCAUAUGGUUUUGAAUUUCUGGAUUUGGACUUGGAUAGCCUGUUUUAUGAUGUUUCCGCUAGAAUGCGUUCUGUGAAUCUUUUUUGUGAUUCUGGUAUAGUAUCUUGCAUUUUUGACCUGGUUACACUCGAAACUGGGUUGAGUGACCUUCUGAAAUAUUGUAGCCCUGUCUCUUAGCUUCAAAACGGUGGGUCUUCACCUUCAUCCGACAAUCGUAGCGCCUUUGGUACCAUUACCGCAAAAUGACGUCAAAACUGUUUUUCUGGUUUUGAGCUUAACUUUCAUUUCCGACUUUUCCCUAGCUUGACUUGUACUAGUACUACUUGGAGCUUGCUGAAUGGCUAUUGGAAGAACUUGUUGUUGUGUGUGUACCUUUGGGACUGGAAUGAGGAAUAAUGAACCUGAUGGCUGGAAAAGUUAGCAAAUUCAGGGGAAGUGCUGUCCGAACUUUGAAGGAUUUGUUUGCAUUGAGUUUGUGAUCUAAGACUUGGAUUUGAGCAAGGCAAUGUAUAUGCUGGAUGAUUUCUGAGCCGUGGAGAUGAGUGACCCUAAAUUAUUUAAAGCUUUGUGAAAUGUUUCUUGCAUUAUUUACUCGACUGCAUCUCAUGCGUGCUUGCAUGUGAAUUCAUGAAUGAUUUUGGCUUCAAUGAGUUCUUGGGAGUCUUGUGUGGGACACCAACGUCUCCACCUCGUAAGUUACUUGGAGCAAAUGGCUCCGGAGCUCAAAAAGGGGCUCCCUCUUAAUGUUAAUGUUAAUGUUAAAUGAUCUAUUUGAGCGUUGGGUGUUCAAGUGCUAUGACUUCACUGGCUCACGAGAGCAAUAAACGGACAUUUUCUUUGAAUCAUGACAUCAUCGAAAGGAUCGAAAUGCAACAUUGUGAAAUAUAUUUGAUUACUGAUUUUACUGGUUACUCGCUGAGCUUCUAGCUCACCCCAAAAAUGUUUUAUUCCCCUCCACAGGGCUCGUCGAAGGAAACGUUUGUAUUAAAGUUCUCCGUGUGAAUGGCUGGUAUCAAGGAUCAGAGUGGCGCAGCGGAAGCGUGGACGCUUCGCUUUGAUAUGUAAUUAUUGGAGAAUUUGAUGUAAUAUUUGAGAUUUAUUGUAAUUUUGAGGAAUGUAGUGAACGACUGAGUCCCGGCGAGAGCUGGGCAGGCGGCCGCCGAACCCUCUGGUUCGCCUUAGGGGAGGUGGGGCUGUCACAGUUGGUAUCAGAGCUUAGGCUUCAGAUCUCUGUAGUGUAUCCUAGGCUUGAAGUUUAGGAUGCCGGACUGUGGUUUGAUUUGACUCUUAGUGUCUUGAAUGCUUGAGUGAUUUUUGCGGGAUGUCUUGACUUGAUUGGUACAAGAGGGAAUGUCGAGGACGACAUUCUUUUAAGGAGGGGAGUUUGUGACGCCCGAAAGUAAGUGUGAGAACCCGAAAUUUUCUAAUUUUCUAGGGUUAUUUUUUAUUUAAUCGCCCGCUUUUCUACAUUUUCUUUAUUAGAAAAAUUUCCCCAGAUAAAGUUUAUGAGCAAAGAUAGUUUUAAAAUAUGAUUUUUCUAGUAUCGGUUAGUUUUUGAGAAAUUAAGAGCGUAUUUUGAACGUGGGACCCGCAAGUGCGGUAAAUGCAUUAUAUUUUUGACAACUUGUUGGAAUUUUGUAUUAAGUGAUAUUAUUUUACAAAGUGUUAAGAUAUUUGUAUUGGAGAGACAAAAAGAUAAGUUUUAAACCAAAAAGGUGACAAGUGUCACCUUGUGAUUUAAUCUUGGACUUUGACCAUUAUUUCUUACCUUUACUAAUACUCAAUUUUGACCCAAAAAUCAUCCUAUUUCUAUGCUUCAUGGCCGGCUCUCUCUCAAAGGAAAAGAAGAAAAAUCUCUCAACUUUCUAGCUUCUCAUCUCACUCAAUCUUCAAUUCUAACCGAUUAAACUUGAAUUUACUCCAUAAAACCUCUUAGUUUGGUGGAGUUGAGCUUGGUUGUGAAGUUGUUUGGAAAGCUAAGGUGACUAAUUGCUCUAUCUCUUGUAUUGCUAAGGUGAGUUGUGAAGAACCACUUUCCUUCCUCUAAUGAUGUUCAAUUCAUGAUUGGUGGUGGUAUAAGAUGCACUUUUAUGGAUUAUAUCUUGAUUUUGGUUGAAUUGGUGAAGUUUUAUAAUUAUUGGGGAUUUUUCUGUUUUCAUAUGGAUAUGAUUAUGUGGUAUGUAUGAUGAUUGGAAAUGAUGUUUAAGGACUCUAGAGGUGGAAAAAGUGGUUAAUUGCAACAAUUUCUGUUUGGAAGAAAUUUGGAAACUAGGGUUUGAUGUUCUUCAUUCUGCCGAAUUUUUAGCUCCUAUAGAGCCGAAUUGGCCUUGGCUUAAAACAUGAAAGUUGUAGGGAAUGACAUUUUAGAGGUGCCUACAAAAUUUCAGGUCAAUCGGAGUAGCGUAGAAUGAGAAAGUCGAAAUUACUAUUGCUGUUCUGGUUUUACCCGAAUGAGAAGUGCGUCUGUAAUGGUUUUUUGGCUGGAAUUGCUUCCGAAUUGGUUGUUGAGGUCUUCUGAUGAAAUUUACCCUGUUUCUUAGCUUUCAUGGUUUUGGAAUUUCUGGAUUUGGACUUGGAUAGCCUGUUUAUGAUGUUUCCGCUAGAAUGCGUUCUGUGAAUCUGUUUUUGUGAUUCUGGUAUAGUAUCUUGCAUUUUUGACCUGGUUACACUCGAAACUGGGUUGAGUGACCUUCUGAAAUAUUGUAGCCCUGUCUCUUAGCUUCAAAACGGUGUCUUCACCUUCAUCCGACAAUCGUAGCGCCUUUGGUACCAUUACCGCAAAAUGACGUCAAAACUGUUUUUCUGGUUUUGAGCUUAACUUUCAUUUCCGGACUUUUCCCUAGCUUGACUUGUACUAGUACUACUUGGAGCUUGCUGAAUGGCUAUUGGAUGAACUUGUUUUGUGUGUGUACCUUUGGGUUGGAAUGAGGAAAUAAUGAAGCCAUGAUGGCUGGAAAAGUUAGCAAAUUCAGGGGAAGUGCUGUCCGAACUUUGAAGGACUUGUUUGCAUUGAGUUUGUGAUCUAAGACUUGGAUUUGAGCAAGGCAAUGUUAUAUGAUGGAUGAUUUCUGAGCCGUGGAGGUGAGUGACCCAAAAUUGUUAAAGCUUGUGAAAUGUUUCUUGCAUUAUUUACUCGACUGCAUCUCAUGCGUGCUUGCAUGUGAAUUCAUGAUAUGAUUUUGGCUUCAAUGAGUUCUGGGAGUCUUGUGCUGGACACCAACGUCUCCACCUCUGUUUACUUGGAGCAAAUGGCUCCGGAGCUCAAAAAGGGGCUCCCUCUUAAUGUUAAUGUUAAUGUUAAAUGAUCUAUUUGAGCGUUGGGUGUUCAAGUGCUAUGACUUCACUGGCUCACGAGAGCAAUAAACGGACAUUUGAUCUCUGAAUCAUGACAUCAUCGAAAGAUCGAAAUGCAACAUUGUGAAAUAUAUUUGAUUACUGAUUUUACUGGUUACUCGCUGAGCUUCUAGCUCACCCCAAAAAUGUUUUAUUCCCCUCCACAGGGCUCGUCGAAGGAAACGUUUGUAUUAAAGUUCUCCGUGUGAAUGGCUGGUAUCAAGGAUCAGAGUGGCGCAGCGGAAGCGUGGACGCUUCGCUUUUGAUAUGUAAUUAUUGGAGAAUUUGAUGUAAUAUUUGAGAUUUAUCUUGUAAUUUUGAGGAUGUAGUGAACGACUGAGUCCCGGCGAGAGCUGGGCAGGCGGCCCGCCGAACCCUCUGGUUCGCCUUAGGGGGAGGUGGGGCUGUCACAGUUGGUAUCAGAGCUUAGGCUUCAGAUCUCUGUAGUGUAUCCUAGGCUUGAAGUUUAGGAUGCCGGACUGUGGGUUUGAUUUGACUCUUAGUGUUUACUUGGAAUGCUUGAGUGAUUUUGCGGGAUGUCUUGACUUGAUUGGUACAAGAGGGAAUGUCGAGGACGACAUUCUUUUAAGGAGGGGAGUUUGUGACGCCCCGAAAGUAUAAGUGUGAGAACCCGAAAUUUUCUAAUUUUCUAGGGUUUAUUUUAUUUAAUCGCCCGCCUUUUCUACAUUUUCUUUAUUAGAAAAAUUCCCAGAUAAAGUUUAUGAGCAAAGAUAGUUUUAAAAUGAUUUUUCUAGUAUCGGUUAGUUUUUGAGAAAUUAAGAGCGUAUUUUGAACGUGGGACCCGCAAGUGCGGUAAAUGCAUUAUAUUUUUGACAACUUGUUGGAAUUUUGUAUUAAGUGAUAUUAUUUUACAAAGUGUUAAGAUAUUUGUAUUGGAGAGACAAAAAGAUAAGUUUUAAACCAAAAAGGUGACAAGUGUCACCUUGUGAUUUAAUCUUGGACUUUGACCAUUAUUUCUUACCUUUACUAAUACUCAAUUUUGACCCAAAAAUCAUCCUAUUUCUAUGCUUCAUGGCCGGCUCUCUCUCAAAGGAAAAGAAGAAAAAUCUCUCAACUUUCUAGCUUCUCAUCUCACUCAAUCUUCAAUUCUAACCGAUUAAACUUGAAUUUACUCCAUAAAACCUCUUAGUUUGGUGGAGUUGAGCUUGGUUGUGAAGUUGUUUGGAAAGCUAAGGUGACUAAUUGCUCUAUCUCUUGUAUUGCUAAGGUGAGUUGUGAAGAACCACUUUCCUUCCUCUAAUGAUGUUCAAUUCAUGAUUGGUGGUGGUAUAAGAUGCACUUUUAUGGAUUAUAUCUUGUUUUGGUUGAAUUGGUGAAGUUUUAUAAUUAUUGGGGAUUUUUCUGUUUUCAUAUGGAUAUGAUUAUGUGGUAUGUAUGAUGAUUGGAAAUGAUAUUUAAGGACUCUAGAGGUGGAAAAAGUGGUUAAUUGCAACAAUUUCUGUUUGGAAGAAAUCAGAAAACUAGGGUUUAGGAGCAUUCUGUCCGAAUUUUUAGCUCCUAGAUAGAGGCCGAAUUGCCUUGCUUAAAACAUGAAAGUUGUAGGGAAUGACAUUUUAGAGGUGCCUACAAAAUUUCAGGUCAAUGGAGUAGCGUAGAAUGAGAAAAGUCGAAAUUACUAUUGCUGUUCUGGUUUUACCCGAAUGUAAGAAUGCGCCUGUAAUUGUUGUUUUGGCUGGAAUUGCUUCCGAAUUGGUUGUUGAGGUUCUGAUGAAAUUUACCCUGUUUCUUAGCUUUCAUGGUUUUGGAAUUUCUGGAUUUGGACUUGGAUAGCCUGUUUAUGAUGUUUCCGCUAGAAUGCGUUCUGUGAAUCUGUUUUUGUGAUUCUGGUAUAGUAUCUUGCAUUUUUGACCUGGUUACACUCGAAACUGGGUUGAGUGACCUUCUGAAAUAUUGUAGCCCUGUCUCUUAGCUUCAAAACGGUGGGUCUUGCACCUUCAUCCGACAAUCGUAGCGCCUUUGGUACCAUUACCGCAAAAUGACGUCAAAACUGUUUUUCUGGUUUUGAGCUUAACUUUCAUUUCCGGACUUUUCCCUAGCUUGACUUGUACUAGUACUACUUGGAGCUUGCUGAAUGGCUAUUGGAUGAACUUGUUGUUGUGUGUGUACCUUUGGGACUGGAAUGAGGAAAUAAUGAAGCCAUGAUGGCUGGAAAAGUUAGCAAAUUCAGGGGAAGUGCUGUCCGAACUUUGAAGGACUUGUUUGCAUUGAGUUUGUGAUCUAAGACUUGGAUUUGAGCAAGGCAAUGUUAUAUGCUGGAUGAUUUCUGAGCCGUGGAGGUGAGUGACCCUAAAUAUUUAAAGUACUUGUGAAAUGUUUCUUGCAUUAUUUACUCGACUGCAUCUCAUGCGUGCUUGCAUGUGAAUUCAUGACAUGAUUUGGCUUCAAUGAGUUCUGGGAGUCUUGUGCUGGACACCAACGUCUCCACCUCUGUUUACAUGGAGCAAAUGGCUCCGGAGCUCAAAAAGGGGCUCCCUCUUAAUGUUAAUGUUAAUGUUAAAUGAUCUAUUUGAGCGUUGGGUGUUCAAGUGCUAUGACUUCACUGGCUCACGAGAGCAAUAAACGGACAUUUGUUCUUGAAUCAUGACAUCAUCGAAAGGAUCGAAAUGCAACAUUGUGAAAUAUAUUUGAUUACUGAUUUUACUGGUUACUCGCUGAGCUUCUAGCUCACCCCAAAAAUGUUUUAUUCCCCUCCACAGGGCUCGAGUCGAAGGAAACGUUUGUAUUAAAGUUCUCCGUGUGAAUGGCUGGUAUCAAGGAUCAGAGUGGCGCAGCGGAAGCGUGGACGCUUCGCUUUUGAUAUGUAAUUAUUGGAGAAUUUAAUGUAUAUUUGAGAUUUAUAUUGUAAUUUAAUUGAGGAUGUAGUGAACGACUGAGUCCCGGCGAGAGCUGGGCAGGCGGCCCGCCGAACCCUCUGGUUCGCCUUAGGGGGAGGUGGGGCUGUCACAGUUGGUAUCAGAGCUUAGGCUUCAGAUCUCUGUAGUGUAUCCUAGGCUUGAAGUUUAGGAUGCCGGACUGUGGGUUUGAUUUGACUCUUAGUGUACUUGGAAUGCUUGAGUGAUUUUUGCGGGAUGUCUUGACUUGAUUGGUACAAGAGGGAAUGUCGAGGACGACAUUCUUUAAGGAGGGGAGUUUGUGACGCCCGAAAGUAGAGUGUGAGAACCCGAAAUUUUCUAAUUUUCUAGGGUUUAUUUUAUUUAAUCGCCCGCUUUUCUACAUUUUCUUUAUUAGAAAAAUUUCCCAGAUAAAGUUUAUGAGCAAAGAUAGUUUUAAAAUAUGAUUUUUCUAGUAUCGGUUAGUUUUUGAGAAAUUAAGAGCGUAUUUUGAACGUGGGACCCGCAAGUGCGGUAAAUGCAUUAUAUUUUUGACAACUUGUUGGAAUUUUGUAUUAAGUGAUAUUAUUUUACAAAGUGUUAAGAUAUUUGUAUUGGAGAGACAAAAAGAUAAGUUUUAAACCAAAAAGGUGACAAGUGUCACCUUGUGAUUUAAUCUUGGACUUUGACCAUUAUUUCUUACCUUUACUAAUACUCAAUUUUGACCCAAAAAUCAUCCUAUUUCUAUGCUUCAUGGCCGGCUCUCUCUCAAAGGAAAAGAAGAAAAAUCUCUCAACUUUCUAGCUUCUCAUCUCACUCAAUCUUCAAUUCUAACCGAUUAAACUUGAAUUUACUCCAUAAAACCUCUUAGUUUGGUGGAGUUGAGCUUGGUUGUGAAGUUGUUUGGAAAGCUAAGGUGACUAAUUGCUCUAUCUCUUGUAUUGCUAAGGUGAGUUGUGAAGAACCACUUUCCUUCCUCUAAUGAUGUUCAAUUCAUGAUUGGUGGUGGUAUAAGAUGCACUUUUAUGGAUUAUAUCUUGAUUUUGGUUGAAUUGGUGAAGUUUUAUAAUUAUUGGGGAUUUUUCUGUUUUCAUAUGGAUAUGAUUAUGUGUCAUGUAUGAUGAUUGGAAAUGAUAUUUAAGGAGCUAGAGGUGGAAAAAGUGGAUUAAUUGCAACAAUUUCUGUUUUGGAAGAAAUUUCAGAAAACUAGGGUUUGAAGGAGCAUUCUGUCCGAAUUUUUAGGUCCUAGAUAGAGGCCGAAUUGGCCUUGCUUAAAACAUGAAAGUUGUAGGGAAUGACAUUUUAGAGGUGCCUACAAAAUUUCAGGUCAAUCGAGUAGAGUAGCGUAGAAUGAGAAAGUCGAAAUUACUAUUGCUGUUCUGGUUUUACCCGAAUGAGAAGUGCGUCUGUAAUGGUUUUUUGGCUGGAAUUGCUUCCGAAUUGGUUGUUGAGGCCUUCUGAUGAAAUUUAGCCCUGUUUCUUAGCUUUCAUGGUUUUUGGAAUUUCUGGAUUUGGACUUGGAUAGCCUGUUUAUGAUGUUUCCGCUAGAAUGCGUUCUGUGAAUCUGUUUUUGUGAUUCUGGUAUAGUAUCUUGCAUUUUUGACCUGGUUACACUCGAAACUGGGUUGAGUGACCUUCUGAAAUAUUGUAGCCCUGUCUCUUAGCUUCAAAACGGUGGGUCUUUCACCUUCAUCGACAAUCGUAGCGCCUUUGGUACCAUUACCGCAAAAUGACGUCAAAACUGUUUUUCUGGUUUUGAGCUUAACUUUCAUUUCCGACUUUUCCCUAGCUUGACUUGUACUAGUACUACUUGGAGCUUGCUGAAUGGCUAUUGGAUGAACUUGUUGUUGUGUGUGUACCUUUGGGACUGGAAUGAGGAAAUAAUGAAGCCAUGAUGGCUGGAAAAGUUAGCAAAUUCAGGGGAAGUGCUGUCCGAACUUUGAAGGAUUUGUUUGCAUUGAGUUUGUGAUCUAAGACUUGGAUUUGAGCAAGGCAAUGUUAUAUGCUGGAUGAUUUCUGAGCCGUGGAGGUGAGUGACCCUAAACUAUUUCCAAAGUACUUGUGAAAUGUUUCUUGCAUUAUUUACUCGAUUGCAUCUCAUGCGUGCUUGCAUGUGAAUUCAUGACAUGAUUUGGCUUCAAUGAGUUCUGGGAAAGUCUUGUGCUGGACACCAACGUCUCCACCAUUUUCGUAGUUCGUGACAUGACGGAGCAAAUGGCUCCGGAGCUCAAAAAGGGGCUCCCUCUUAAUGUUAAUGUUAAUGUUAAAUGAUCUAUUUGAGCGUUGGGUGUUCAAGUGCUAUGACUUCACUGGCUCACGAGAGCAAUAAACGGACAUUUGAUCUUGAAUCAUGACAUCAUCGAAAGGAUCGAAAUGCAAUUGUGAAAUAUAUUUGAUUACUGAUUUUACUGGUUACUCGCUGAGCUUCUAGCUCACCCCAAAAAUGUUUUAUUCCCCUCCACAGGGCUCGAGUCGAAGGAAACGUUUGUAUUAAAGUUCUCCGUGUGAAUGGCUGGUAUCAAGGAUCAGAGUGGCGCAGCGGAAGCGUGGACGCUUCGCUUUUGAUAUGUAAUUCUUGGAGAAUUUAAUGUAUAUUUGAGAUUUAUAUUGUAAUUUAAUUGAGGACUUUAGUGAACGACUGAGUCCCGGCGAGAGCUGGGCAGGCGGCCGCUGAACCCUCUGGUUCGCCUUAGGGGAGGUGGGGCUGUCACAGUUGGUAUCAGAGCUUAGGCUUCAGAUCUCUGUAGUGUAUUCCUAGGCUUGAAGUUUAGGAUGCCGGACUGUGGGUUUGAUUUGACUCUUAGUGUUUACUUGGAAUGCUUGAGUGAUUUUUGCGGGAUGUCUUGACUUGAUUGAUACAAGAGGGAAUGUCGAGGACGACAUUCUUAUAAGGAGGGAGUUUGUGACGCCCUGAAAGGUACGAGUGUGAGAACCCGAAAAAUUUUCUAAUUUUCUAGGGUUAUUUUAUUUAAUCGCCCGCUUUUUCUACAUUUUCUUUAUUAGAAAAUUUCCUCAGAUAAAGUUUAUGAGCAAAGAUAGUUUUAAAAUAUAUUUUUCUAAUAUCGGUUAGUUUUUGAGAAAUUAAGAGCGUAUUUUGAACGUGGGACCCGCAAGUGCGGUAAAUGCAUUAUAUUUUUGACAACUUGUUGGAAUUUUGUAUUAAGUGAUAUUAUUUUACAAAGUGUUAAGAUAUUUGUAUUGGAGAGACAAAAGAUAAGUUUUAAACCAAAAAGGUGACAAGUGUCACCUUGUGAUUUAAUCUUGGACUUUGACCAUUAUUUCUUACCUUUACUAAUACUCAAUUUUGACCCAAAAUCAUCCUAUUUCUAUGCUUCAUGGCCGGCUCUCUCUCAAAGGAAAAGAAGAAAAAUCUCUCAACUUUCUAGCUUCUCAUCUCACUCAAUCUUCAAUUCUAAUCGAUUAAACUUGAAUUUACUCCAUAAAACCUCUUAGUUUGGUGGAGUUGAGCUUGGUUGUGAAGUUGUUUGGAAAGCUAAGGUGACUAAUUUCUCUAUCUCUUGUAUUGCUAAGGUGAGUUGUGAAGAACCACUUUCCUUCCUCUAAUGAUGUUCAAUUCAUGAUUGGUGGUGGUAUAAGAUGCACUUUUAUGGAUUAUAUCUUGAUUUUGGUUGAAUUGGUGAAGUUUUAUAAUUAUUGGGGAUUUUUCUGUUUUCAUAUGGAUAUGAUUAUGUGGUCAUGUAUGAUGAUUGGAAAUGAUAUUUAAGGAAGCUAGAAGGUGGAAAAAGUGGAUAAUUGCAAGCAAUUUCUGGUUUGGAAGAAAUUUCAGAAAACUAGGGUUCCUGAAGGAGCAUUCUGUCCGAAUUUUUAGGUCCUAGAUAGAGGCCGAAUUGGCUUUGUCUUAAAACAUGAAAGUUGUAGGGAAUGACAUUUUAGAGGUGCCUACAAAAUUUUAGGUCAAUCGGAGUAGCGUAGAAUGAGAUAAGUCGAAAUUACUAUUGCUGUUCUGGUUUUACCCGAAAUUGAGAAGUGCGUCUGUAAUGGGUUUUUUGGCUGGAAUUGCUUCCGAAUUGGUUGUUGAGGCCUUCUGAUGAAAUUUAGCCCUGUUUCUUAGCUUUCAUAUGGUUUUUGAAUUUAUGGAUUUGGACUUGGAUAGCCUGUUUUAUGAUGUUUCCGCUAGAAUGCGUUCUGUGAAUCUGUUUUUAUGAUUCUGGUAUAGUAUCUUGCAUUUUUGACCUGGUUACACUCGAAACUGGGUUGAGUGACCUUCUGAAAUAUUGUAGCCCUGUCUCUUAGCUUCAAAACGGUGGGUCUUUCACCUUCAUCUGACAAUCGUAGCGCCUUUGGUACCAUUACCGCAAAAUGACGUCAAAACUGUUUUUCUGGUUUUGAGCUUAACUUUCAUUUCCGAACUUUUCCCUAGCUUGACUUGUACUAGUACUACUUGGAGCUUGCUGAAUGGCUAUUGGAAGAACGUUGUUGUGUGUGUACCUUUGGGACUGGAUGAGGAAAUAAUGAAGCCAUGAUGGCUGGAAAAGUUAGCAAAUUCAGGGGAAGUGCUGUCCGAACUUUGAAGGGAUUUGUUUGCAUUGAGUUUGUGAUCUAAGACUUGGAUUUGAGCAAGGCAAUGUUAUAUGCUGGAUGAUUUCUGAGCCGUGGAGAUGAGUGACCCUAAAUUAUUUCCAAAGUACUUGUGAAAUGUUUCUUGCAUUAUGUACUCGAUUGCAUCUCAUGCGUGCUUGCCUGUGAAUUCAUGACAUGAUUUGGCUUCAAUGAGUUCUGGGAAAGUCUUGUGUUGGACACCAACGUCUCCACCAUUUUCGUAAGUUCGUGACAUGACGGAGCAAAUGGCUCCGGAGCUAAAAAAGGGGCUCCCUCUUAAUGUUAAUGUUAAUGUUAAAUGAUCUAUUUGAGCGUUGGGUGUUCAAGUGCUAUGACUUCACUGGCUCACGAGAGCAAUAAACGGACAUUUGUUCUUUGAAUCAUGACAUCAUCGAAAGGAUCGAAAUGCAAUAUUGUGAAAUAUAUUUGAUUACUGAUUUUACUGGUUACUCGCUGAGCUUCUAGCUCACCCCAAAAAUGUUUUAUUCCCCUCCACAGGGCUCGAGUCGAAGGAAACGUUUGUAUUAAAGUUCUCCGUGUGAAUGGUUGGUAUCAAGGAUCAGAGUGGCGCAGCGGAAGCGUGGACGCUUCGCUUUUGAUAUGUAAUUCUUGGAGAAUUUAAUGUAUAUUGAGAUUUAUAUUGUAAUUUAAUUGAGGACUUUAGUGAACGACUGAGUCCCGGCGAGAGCUGGGCAGGCGGCCCGCCGAACCCUCUGGUUCGCCUUAGGGGGAGGUGGGGCUGUCACACCUAAGACUCUUAUGGUCCGAGUAAACCUCAAAGGUAACCCCAUAUAGGUAGUGUCUCCAUUUCUUCAGAGCAAAAACAACUGCGACUAACUCCAGAUCGUGGGUUGGGUAGUUCUACUCGUGGGGUUUUAACUUUCUUGAGGCAAAAGAUAUCACAUUUCGGUUCUGCAUCAGCACACACCCUAGACCUUCUCGUGACGCAUCGGUAUAAACGACAAACUCGUCACCUCCGUUAGGUAAGACUAGAACUGGAGCCAUGGUCAAUCUUUUCUUUAGCUCUUGAAAACUUGUCUCACUUCGGGCAUUCCAAAUGAACCGACCAUGUUUCUUUGUCAAGUCGGUUAGGGGACCGGCUAGUUUGGAAAAGUUCUUGAUGAAACACCGGUAAUAUCCAGCCAGCCCUAGAAAGCUGCGGACCUCGGUAGGAUUUUCUGGUCUCUUCCAAUUAGUCACAGCCUCUACUUUCGCCGGGUCAACUGAAAUACCCUCUUGAGAAAUUACGUGUCCUAGAAAAAAAUUUUCUCCAGCCAAAAUUCGCACUUGCUGAACUUAGCGUACAGUUGAUGGUCUCUUAGGGUUUGUAAGACAACCCUCAAGUGCUGCUCAUGCUCUUCACGUGUCUUGGAAUAGACCAGAAUGUCAUCGAUGAAGACUACGACAAAUCGAUCCAGGUAGGGCUUAAAAACCCUAUGCAUUAAAUCCAUGAAGGCGGCAGGAGCAUUGGUUAGUCCGAAUGGCAUAACUUGCGAAUUCUUAAUGCCCAUAUCUCGAGUUGAAAGCGAUUUUCGGAAUAUUUCCUUCCUGAUUAAUAACUGGUAAUACCCUUGGCGGAGAUCAGUUUCGAGAAGACCACCGCUCCUGCCGUGCAACUGGUCAAACAACUCAUCUAUGUGGGCAAUGGAUACUUAUUUUUAACGCGUAAUAUUAUUCAGGCCCGAAUAAUCGAUACACAUCCUCAAACCACGUCGUCUUUUUCUUCACAAACAGUACAGGGGCUCCCCAAGGAGACCCACUCUCUUGAAUGAACCUCGCUCUAAAAAGGUCCUGUAAUUGUAAUUUCAUUCAGCUCCUUGAGCUCCGCAGGGGCCAUUCGGUACGGGGUUUUUGAGAUAGGUGAGGUUCCCGGUAGCAAGUCUAUUUUGAAUUCUAUCUCUCUUUGCCGGAGGUAGGGCUACUAACUCAUCAGGAAAUACAUCCGAAAAUUCAUUUACUAUGGCCACGUCCUCCACUUUUAACUUAUCCGUGGGGGUGUUAAUCAGAAAGGCUAAAAAUCCUUGUGCCCUCUACUUAGCAGUUUCCUAGCCCGAAUGCCGCGAAAUCAAAGCAGAUGAGGCAACCUACCCCUUAUAUCCACCUUAAGGUUGCCUUCACCCGGAAUGCGGAAUUCUACCACUUUCGUUUUACAAUCCAGUUGGGCAUUAUACUUGCUAUCCAGUCCAUACCCAAAAUCACAUCAUACCUUAAUGACCAAGCUUAUCAAGUCGCCUAACAAUCUCUUCUCUCCUACCCACACUUCACAAUCCCUAUAAACCAUAGCUAGUAACCAAACGUUGAUUCCCCGUAGGUAUACUAACUUCUAGGUCGUAUGGUAAACUAGCAGGUUUUAUAUCGAUGCCACACAUGAAAUCAGGGUUAACAAAGGAAUGAGUGGCACCAGGGAUCAAUUAAAACUUUGGCAAAACGGUGGAAAAUAGGGAUGUACCUCUACGACUCUGAGGAAUCUGGGACCUGUUGGGGUUCUAACGAAUAUACUCGAGCUGGCACCUUAGGUUUCGUCCCAUCUCCCUUAACCGGUCCGUAUUGGUCUUUGGCACGGGUUGAGCUCCCUUUCUGUCUUGCUUUAAAAUUGGACAGGUAGCAAGCUGGUGGUUUGCGCUUCCGCAACGCAGACAUUUGCCCUCCUUUCUUCCAGCAAUUAUCUUCGAAGUGAUUCGGCUUUCCGCAAUACCCACAAGGCCCGGCGCGACGCGAACCAGAACUAUGGAAGUUUCCGCCUUGGCCUCUCCCAGUUGGGCCACUCCUGGACUGAGCCCCUCUACCGAAACCCGUCUGUCGUCCACAUCCAGUUCCUCGUCCGAACUUGGAGGGGGUACCUUUAUCCCUUGCCCGGAGCUGCUUCCAGGAAAACCCCGCUUCUUCGCCGGGAAGUUUCGUACUUGUACCCUGGCGCUCUCUACCCGUUGGGCCUUCUCAAUGGCCUCGCUAAAAGCGUUAAUCUGGGCCACCGCGAGGUCCUUCUGAAUCUCCACAUUCAGGCCCUGGAUAAAACGCCUGAUCGCCGCUGCUCCGUCAUAAUCAACUCAGGGGCAAACUUGGAUAAGCACGUGAACUGGCUUUCGUACUCCGCUACAAAACUGAGCGCCUUGACGGAGUCGAAUAAACUCAUCUUCCUUCCUCUCCUGCACUAGAGGAGGGAAAAAUUUCACGUUGAAUUCUCUCAUAAAAUUCACCCAAGUCCUGGGCGUUUGUUCUCGUUCCCAUUUUUACCGAAUGACAUUCCACCAGGAACGGGCCGCCCCUUCCAGCUGGAAAACGGCAAAAGUCGCCUGCCGUUCUUCGGUAUAGUGCAGGGCAGCGAAAAUAUCUAUCAUUUUCUCAAGCCACCUUUCGGCGACAUCCGGGUCGGGUCCCCCAAUAAAUUUCGGUGGUGCGAACUUCUGGAACCUCUCAAGUGCCCUAUCGUCGCUUUCGACGUGGUUGCCCGGGUUUCCAGGAUUAGGGUUUGGGUUUUGGCCUUGUUGCUGCACCACUUGUGCCAGCAGGUUGGUCAUUUGCUGCAUAGCGGCAGCUAUCUGGACGUUGGGGUCAACCCUCGGUUCAGGAUUAGGUCCAAAGGAGGUUUCCCCAGCACCCCUGUGACAGCCCACCUCCUCCUAAGGCGAACCAGAGGGUUCGGCGGGCCGCCUGCCCAGCUCUCGCCGGGACUCAGUCGUUCAUUACAUUCCUCAAACAGAUUACAAGAUAAAACUCAAUAUAACUCAAAUGAAUUACAAGAUAAAUCUCAAAUAUUACAUUAAAUUCUCCACUAAUUACAUAUCCAAAAGCGAAGCGUCCAUGCUUCCGCUGCGCACUCUGAUCCAUGAUCCCAAUUAUUACACAAGAGGAAUUCCACAACAAUAAAAUCACAACAAGCCUUCCUUCGCCACGAGCCCUGUGGAGGGGAAUAAAAUAGUUUUGGGGUGAGCUAGAAGCUCAGCGAGUAACCAGUAAAAUCAGUAAUCAAAUCGGUUUUAACAAUAGUUCAUUUCAAUGAUGUCAUAAAUCAAUGAUAGAGUAUCAAUAAUUCAAGAAACAUUUACAAUGGAAAGCGAUAGCAACAUUCAUGAAAAGGAUACGGGCCCAUGGAGCCAAAAUAUUCGCGCUGUCGCUCGUUCUCCUGCCAUUUCCCCUUAUUUCUCCAAUUAUUUGAAAAUUUCAUUUUGUGAAUAAACCCUCGUUUGUUCGUUCAUUUGUUCGUUUCAUUCACCCUUUCCUGGACAUUGUCCAGGCUCCACCAACCUCCACCAACCUACAAAGGUAAUACUCGAGUAUACGAAAACGUUCACCCAGGUCACCAUAUCGCUCGACCGAGUCCGCUUUUGGCUCGAGUCAAUCGAUAACAAGGGGCAGUGGCCAGUUCAGCCAAAAGGCUUACAUUCAUGCGCAACUAGCAUUUAAUCAUUAAUCAUUGAAAAGUUCACAUUUAUUUAGGUCGAGUGCGAUAAAAGUACACACUCGCCUAGAAAACUCGUUUUAACAAUCAUUGAAAGCACUUAACACAUUAUCAAUCAAUAAUAACAAGCCAAUAAGUCAAGGAAAUACAACAAACCAGCAACACUCACAUGCAAGCACGCAUGAUAUGCAAGAAAACAGUUCAAAAGUAAAUAAUGCAGGAAAACAGUUCAAAAGUAACUUUGGAAAAGUUCAAAAGUAACUAAUGCAGGAAACGGUUCAUAAAUAACUUUAGAAAUAGUUUGAGGUCACUCACCUCCAUGGCUCAGAAAAUCAUCCAUCAUAUAACAUUGCCUUGCGCAAAUCCAAGUCUUAGAUCACAAACUCAAUGCAAACAAAUCCCUUCAAAGUUCGGACAGCACCUCCCCUGAAUUUGCCAACUUUUCCAGCCAUCAUGGCUUCAUUAUUUCCUCAGCCAGUCCCAAAGUCACACGAAAUAUAAAUUCUUCACAACGGCCGUUCAAUAGGCUCCCAAUAGUACAAGUACAAUUCAAGCUCUAAAAUAUUCCAAUAAGCACAAUAAGACUCGAUUACAAGUCAUAAACCAAUUCCAAAUACCACCAAAAAGGGCUCCAUAAGAAUGUAUAAGCACUAGAGUAAACCAGGAAAAAUCCGGAAAUGAUUUAGCUUUAACCCUGAAAAAAACAGUUUUUGACGUCAUUUUGCGGUAAUGGUACAAAGGCGCUACGAUUGUCGGAUGAAGGUGAAAGAUACACCGUUUCGAAGCUAAGAGAUAGGGAUACAAUAUUGUAGGAGGUCGCUCAACCCAGUUUCGAGUGUAACCAGGUCAAAAAUGCAAGAUACUACGCCAGAAUCACAGAACGCAUUCUAGCGGAAACAUCAUAAAUCAGGAUACCUAAGUCCAAAUUCAGAAAUUCCAAAACCAAAUGAAAGCUAAGAGACAGGGAUACAUUUCAUCAGAAGACCUCAACAACCAAUUGGGAAGCAAUUCCAGCCAAAACAACCAAUUACAGGCGCAAUUCUUACAUUCGGGUAAAACCAGGACAGCAAGGGUAAUUUCGACUUUUCUCAUUCUACGCUACUCCGAUUAACCUGAAAUUUUGUAGGCACCUCUAAAAUGUCAUUUCCUACAACUUUUAUGUUUUAAUCUAAGGCCAAUUCGGCCUCUAACUAGGAACUAUAAAUUCGGACAGAAUGUAUUCAUCAUAACCCUAACUUUCCAAAAUUUCUUCCAAAACAGAAAUUGGUUGCAAUUAACCACUUUUCCCACCUCCUAGAGUCAUUAUAUACCAUUUCCAAUCAUCAUAGAUAGCCACACAAUCAUGCUCAUAUUAAAACAGAAAAAUCCCCAAAAAUUAUAAAACUUCAUCACUUCAACCACAAAUCAAGAAAUAAUCCAUAAACUUGCAUCUCAUACUACCACUAAUCAUGAUUUAAGCAUCAAUUAAGGGAGGAGGGUGGUUCUUCACAACUUACCUUAGAAACAAGAGAGAGGGAGCAAUAGGUUCUCUUAGCUUUCCAAAUAAUUCCACAAAUCAACUCACAAACACUAAGUGAAGAGGUUUUAUGGAGAGAUUGCAAGAUUAAAUGGUUAGAUUGUUGAACUUGAGCAAGAUUGAAGCCAAAAAUUGAAGAGUUUUCUUUCUUUUCUUGCCUUGAAGAAGUCGGCCAAGAGGAAGACAAAAAUGAGGAAUUUUGGUGAAUUUUUAGUUAUUUAAGUCAAUUGGUAAGACUUGGAAUAGUAGUCAAAUGGUCCACCCAAUAGCCAAGUGACACUUGUCACUUAAUUUAAUGCUUGCCUAACUUUUGUCUCUCUCAUACCAAUCCACUUAGCAUCCUCUACUUAUCUCUUAACACCCCAUAAAUUAAUUGCAGUAUCCAAAACUUAACCUAGUUGGCCGAAUUUUUCCGAACUUUUCGCAUUAGUGGGUCCCACGUCUGGUAUAUGCUCUUAAUUUCUCAAAAACUAUCCGAUACUAGAAAAAUCAUCCAAAAACUAUAUUUACUCAUAAAAAUUAUUUUCCCAAUUUCUCACAUCAAUAAAAUAUGGAAAAACGUGCAAUUAUAAAAAAAAUAAAAUCGAGUACUUUAAAACAAAAUUACAGGCUCUCACACUUAUACUUUUCGGGGCGUCACAACCCCGGUCUGGCGUAGGUUGCCUAUUCCCACGCCCACGCCCCCGUCCACUACGUGUGCCUUCCAUAAAAUCUAUUUGAUCUAGGCAAACGUACUAGAACAAUAGAAUAACAAUGCAUGUAAAUAAAAUCCCAAAAGCUUUUACAAUAAAAUAUAUAUACAUGCCAAACAAAGUCAAACAACACACAUAUCAACAACCAGUCAAGCCAAGUACAGUCAAAUCAAGUACAGUCAAGUCAAGUCUAAACAUAGAAAAUCCACCAGGGAAUGGCCUUAUCAAAAGAGUAUACAUGUAGCUAAUCCGACAUACAAAACGGCUAGCUAAGGCUCUUUUCCCUAUCCGUCCUAUAUACAGACACAAAACUAUCCCAAAAGAUCCUAGGAGUCACAACCUAGUCCGUCGUCGGGCUAGUGGACCCACCCGACGGGGUGGAUUCACCCGACGCCUCGGCCCCUGUGCACGACGCCUCGUAGCUCACUCCCUCGACCACGUCGGCGCAGAGGUUCAGGAUCGAUGCGGCUCGAACCUUCACCUUUCGAGCUCGCUUAGACUCGCGCUCACGUGUCUCCCAAAGCUGAGUGCACAAGUCAUCCACCCGAUCCUCUACCUCAAGCACAUCGUACUCUAAAUCCUUGAUUCGCUUGGCUUGUUUCUCAUUAUCCGCUCUUAACUGCUUCACCUCAGACUCAAGCCUAGACUUAUCUGCGGCCAACUCCUUACGCUCCUCAGCCACGGCCAACACUAAGGCAUUAGGGUAGGCGUACGUGUGUCGACACUCGCAACGUCGGAGGCGGUUAGCCGGGCUCCAACGCACAACGGCUCUCUUGGCCAAAUCUGGUAUGGGAUCACUGGGAGCGCUCCACGAGGUCGCUCGCCGGAGGGCUAUCACUAGGCUCACCCCAUCCGUCCAUCCUACACCAAAAGAGUAAAUAAAUGUAAAUAACCUUAAGGAACAUACUUAACAUAAUCCUCAAGUCGGCCUUUCUAACACGCCCAGGCCAAUUCAAACCUAGGCUUUGAUACCACCUGUGACAGCCCCACCUUCCCCUGAGCGAACCAAAGGGGUUAGCGGACUGCCUGCCCAACUCUCGCCAGGACUAACGGAACAAUUCAAAUACAGUUUAAAAGUUUCGGAACAUACAAGCGCGCUUAGACAAGUCAAAAUUACGCAAAAGAAAAUAAUAAAAAAAACAAAAAAUGGAGUCUGCCAUGAAUAGUAACCGACACGUCAAAAUCCGGUCGCAAAAACAAAAAAAAUAAAUUUGCCGUUUGAAAUCCGAAUCUGUCCGAAUUCUCACCCAACAUCAAUCAAACAUUUAUACGAUGAAAUUAAGCAUAUACAAUCCAGAGUGGCAUACAAAAGUUAUUCAAAAGUGGAUACAUGUACAGUUUGUCCAAUCAAAAGAGAAAAUGGACCCAAAAGUACAUUUAGGGUUUCAAUCAAUGAGCUAUACAAAAGAUAUGUCCAUCUAGCUCAAUUCGGCAACCAACUAUCAAAUCCAGUCCAAAAGUAUUAUUUUCCUGUAAGGAAAACAAAAGGAACAGAGUGAGCUUACGCCCAGUGGUAUACUAUCACUCAAGCAACCAAGUCAUAUAGGCAUAAAGCGGUCAAGGAAAAAAAUAAACCAAGAUCACACAUUAACAAGAUGGGUAAAAGGAUACGGACGGCUCUCAAGAGCCCCUUUCCUCGCUUGUAUACUUGAUCGGACUUCAUUGACCCUCCGUCAAUGUUUACAAAGUAACCAUCCGUAGGCUCCACUUUACUUCCAUUCCUUCCACCCAACAUACCCCUACCGGGCCCGAACUCCAAACAGUAGAAAUUUGGUACUACUCGAGUAUACCGGAAUCAAGAGUCUCACUACUACAAGAUUCCAUAUAACAGUCCCCAUGGCUCGUCAAUUUUCACGACCAAGCCCUCGCCGGCUUGAUCCAAUCGACUACCAAUGGGGUUGAGCUCAGGAGGAUCAGUAAUGGUCAUUGGAUACUCGUCCAACCGACACCAAAUUCAUGAACCAAAUUCAGUAUUUCAUGUAUCAUUCAAUCAUUACAGUGAAACAGUAGACAGUCAUAUGAGACACCAAAUGGGUGAGGGCGAUCAAGUACACACUCACUUAAACAAUUUCAACGGAGCAAAUAAGCCUUCAAGGCAUCAAGUUCACAUAUACCAAAGCCACAUUGUAAACAACAAGUGAGUAGUACACUCACCAAGCAAGCAAAUGAUAUUUCAUGCACUUCCGCCUAAGAGCGUCUUGCACCACCGUCACGUCCUAACAUAUGCAAAUAAGCACAAUAAGACUCAAUUACAAGUCAUAAACCAAUUCCCAAUACUAUCAAAAUAGGGCUCCAGAAGAAUGUAUAAGCACUAGAGUAAACCAGGGAAAUCCGGAAAUGGAAUUAAGCUCUAAUCCAGAAAAACAGUUUUUGACAUCAUUUUGCGGUUUUGGCACCAUUGGCACUACAAUUAUCGGAUGGAGGUACAAGAUACACCGUUUCGAAGCUAAGAGAUAGGGAUACAAUCUUGAAUAAGGCUACUCUGUCCAGUUCUGAGUGUAACCAGGUCAACAUUUCAAUAUACUACACCAGAACCGCAAAAACAGGUUCACAAACCGCAUUCUGGUUCAAACAUCAUAAGUCAGGCUACCUAAGUCCAAAUCAAGUGAUUCCAAAGCCAUCCGAAAUCUAAGAUACAAGGAUACAAUUCAUCAGAAGACAUAAACAACCAAAUCAGAAGCAUUCCCUAUCAAAUUUACCAAUUACCAGAACUGAUUACCAAGUUCGGGUAGAAACAGGGCAGCAGGGGUAUUUCAGUCUUUUCACAAGAUACGUUGGUCCGAUUGACCUGAAAUUUUUCAGGCAUCUCUAAAAUAUCAUUCCCUAAAACUUUCAUGUUUUAACCCAAGGCCAAUUCAGCCUCUAACUAUGAGGUACAUUGCCGGGCAGAAUGUAAGAAAAUGAAACCCUAUCUUCCAAAAUUUCUUUCCGAAACAGAAAUUUUCUGCAAUUAACCACACUUUCCACCUUCUAACUUCCUUCAAUAUCAUUUCCAAUCAUCAUACAUAGCCACACAAUGAUAAUCAUAUGAAAACAGAAAAAUCAUCAAUAAUUAUAAAACUUCACCAAAUUCAACCAAAAUCAAGAUAUAACCCACAAAAUUCCCUCAUAGGCUACCACAAAUCAUGAAUUAAACAUCAUUAGAUGGAGGAGAGGGGUUCCUUCACUACUCACCUUUGUAAUACAAGAGAGGGAGCAACUAAUCCCCUUAGCCUUCCAAACAACUCCACUAACCACCUCACAAUCACUCACUUAAGGGUUUCUAUGGAACAAAAGCAAGAUUAAAUGGUUGAGUUAUUGGAUUGAGCAAGAGUAGAGCUAGGAAUUUGGAGAGUUUUCCUUUCUUUCUUCCUUGGAGAGAGCCGGCUUCAAGAGCUUGGAAAUAAGGGUGAAUUUUGGAAAUUUUGUUUUUGUUGGUUUAUUUGGUCAAAUGGUAAAAGAAUGAAUAGUAGUCAUAACUUAAGACUUAAUCUUAUGGUGACACUUGUCACCCUAUUUAAUGCAUCUCUAUCUUUUUGUUCCUCUCACACCAAUCCACUUGGUAACCUCUAAUUAUCUCUUAACACCCGCGUAAAUUAAAUCCAGUAUCCAAAACUUAACCUAACUGGCCGAAUUUUUCUGAACUUUUCGCCCUAGUGGGUCCCACGUCCGGUAUACGCUCUUUGUCGCGCCCCAUUUUUAAUAAGAAAAAUAAAUGAAUAAAUUAGGUUUUUAGAAUAAUGGGCCUAAUGGGACAUAGAAAAUGCGACGAUUUGACCCAAAAUAAAUUUAAAAAGGGUGUUUUGAAAUAAAAAUCGGAGUCGCCACUUGGUAUUGAGUUAAGGUGUACCAAGUCACCUAAAAUGAAUUUUUCAAAAAAAUAGAAAACCCUUUUUAAACGACUCCUAGUCUACGAAAAUCAAAAGAAAGGUUCGGGAGUCACAUUUGACGAAGGGGAAGGCAAGGAAAAAAAUCCAAGGCACCCCUUCGAUCUAGCCAAGGCUAGUUGCGUGAUUUAGCCAAAGAUUUUUCUUGUUUUAACCAAAGAAUUUAUCACAUUUGGAUGUACUAUAUGAAUGCAAACCCUAGACCUAGGAGGGUAUCGGGGGGUCAAAAUUUCUCUUCAAAGCUCAAUUAGUGCCAAUCACAUUAAUUGUGAUGCCCAAUGUGGACUCUUUGGAGAGGUCACGAAUAAUGUAAAAAUAUGGAUUCUAAAAAAAGGCAAGGGGAAAAAAUAAAAAUAAAAAUAAUUAUUAUUAUCAAAUAUACGUGACCUAAAGAAAUGCAUCAUGUCGGGUACGCGGGGACUAAUGUUCGUGACCCAAUUUUCCCUUUAACAGAGGGAAUACGAGCGUGCUAAGGCCAGAGGGCCAAACUCGUCCAUAUCCCAUACUCAAGGGGUAAUCUCUAGUCUAAUCAGGCAAAAUGCACUAAUCUACCCCCUAAUUUCCUAAAUGAUAUGCAAAUCUAAAUGUUAUAUAUACAUAGGGGUAAGGGAUAUUUUAUUAGAGGAAAUAUUAUGUGAAAAUGAUAAAGAUCCUAAAAAUGAAAAAAUAUGCGUAAAGUGUAAUGUAAUCAUACAAACAUGAUCUAGCGAGGGAGGUCCCUAAGGGUCUAGCGUUGGACUAGCCCUUAACUAACGUUCUCUCACAAGCAUUGGACUUGUAAGAGCUCAAAGGGAAGACCAUGACUAGCAUUGGACUAGCCACGGUAACGUACAUUCCAUCCACAUAAUCAGAUAUAAUAUUAAAAGCAAAUAGGCAUACAAAAGCACAUAGUUUCACAUAGCACGUAUCACAUAAGCAUGCUUAUCUAGAGAUGCAAAAACCUAAGGAAAGCGAUUAAACACAUAGGCAUAAAAGGCACACGCAACACAUGCGCAUAGCACACAAGCCCUAUCUAUUACACUUGGGAGGUCCUACUACAAUCUAAGGGGGAAAAGAAAUAAAUAAAUAAAAUAAUAACCUAACUAUUACAACCUUGGCAUUAAAUUGCCUUUCAAAUAAUCAAAUUGAACUAAAAUAAAUAUGCAAAGCCAAUAAAUAAAUAAAUAAAUAAAUGAAUAAAUAAAACAUUCAAGAGGCAUACAAUCAAACAUGUAAAGUCACAUAGGGCACGUAGAGUCAAAUAAAGUAAGAAUAAGGGAUAGAGUGUACCUCCCUUGAGUUGAUGCUCUAAUGGGGUGAAAUUACUUAUUUACCCUCCAAAAUAAAAGAAAAAGGUCAAGGCAUCACUUUAAUUAACAAAUAACCACAAAGAUAAAAAUGAACAUGAAAUUGAAUCAAUUAAAUCAUGUAAACAACCCACAUUUAGGAAGUUAGAAGAAGAAGGACUUAAUUGCAACAAAUUAACAAAAUUUAGGGGCUAAAAUUAAAGAAAAAAGAAGUCUAGGGACCUAUUUGCAAUUAUAUUAAGCACCCAAUUGAAAGAGAACUAAAAGUUUUUAGGGUCAUAGCAUAAUUAAGAAAAGUCUGAGGAUUGAUUUGCAAAAUCAUUUUCGUUUCUUAAUGGACCAAGCCAUUGGGCCAUUUCCUUUAUUUGUUUGGCCAAAGCUUCCCAGCCCAACGGAAAUCCAAAACAAAAGGGAAUGAGCCAUUUUAUUACAUUGACUCAAAGAAUAAUCCAACAAACUGAUGGGCUUCAACCCUUCAACCAGGACAAACCCAAAUAAAAAAAACCUAACCCAAAUCCAAGUAACCCAAAUAAAUAGCCAAAUCCAAUUCACCUUCUAUUUUACCAAAACCCAACAAACUAAUGGGUGAACUAAAUAUGUUAAAGCCUAAUUUUAUUCCAAAAUCCAGAAUUAAUGAACUAAAAAAAACACACGUAAAACAUAAAAAAAAUUUAAGCUUGAAAGAGGUAAAAACGAUUUAUUUGCAGAAGGUUUUGGGCCUUAGUGCAACAAAGGGGGACUUGGGGGCCAAAGUGCAAUUUUUAGAAAUUAUCAUGCAAACUUCCUGCAAAUUCUACGAGAAAGCUUUCUGCAACAAAAUUUUGCAGCUCAUGAAGCUUCCCUCAAUCGUUUCUGCUACUAGAAUUGCAACUUCAACUCACACAAAAUUCAUACCCAUACUCAUUACCUAUCCACAAAUCAUUGCUUUUAACAAAACCAAACAUGAUUUUUCAACUUUGAUGAUCCCCUCGGAUAAAACCCGAGCCAAGAAAACAAGGACAAAACAUGAAAAUGCAGCAAAAAGAAACUUCAUCAUCUGCUUGCAACGACCAACCAAAACAUGCAACAGAAAACAUUCCACUCUUUGACCAAACGUUGAACUCUUCAUAAGGGAACCAGAAAAGCAAGCUAUUUUUAUAAAUCAAUAAACUCGAAAUGAAGCCAAUAGCACUUUGAAAGUGCAGAUUUUUGCAACAUGGUAAAAGACUUGCGAAAUCUGCCUUAGGCCACUUUGCAAGUCAGAUCUUCAUAGCUUAUAGUAAUUUUAUACCAGCUAUCCUAAUUACACAGCAAGAAAAUCAAGUAUUUGGAGUAACUAUGAAUUUCAGCAACCCAAGAUGACUAACGAAUCAUGCGGCAGCUUCCUCUCUACCAUUUCAGCAUGCAUGGCGACAGAAUUUAUAAGCCCCAAUGGAGCAUGUAGACACACCAACUAAUGCCCCAAGACUCAAACCGAGUCACUUAAACAAAAUCAUAAUACAAAACCAGAGUUCCAGUAGCUGCUUUUCCCCAAAAAAAAUCCAUGGCCGAAACAAUUUACUCCUCUAAAAAUCAGAAACAAACAUUGACUUAAGUACCAAAACUGAUGAAUUAGGCUUCUGGAAAAGAUCAUGCAUAACAGAGGUGACACAAGACAAUCUUAUUGACAUCCGAAAACAAUACGUCAACCAAAAGGGGAAAACAAAGGAACUGCUGCAACAAGCCUAACUCACUGACUUGUCCAAUUUCUUUCGAACGUAAAAAAAUGCAACAAAACCAUCUUUCAACAAAGAAUUUUCGGCUAGACAUUUCAUCGAACAGAUUGGGGGCAUUAAAAGUUUCAUCAGAUUUUUGCUCAAAUUGAAGUCAAUCAGCCCCAAAAUUGUUCAACAAACAAGAGAUUUUAGUCCAAUUUACACAGAAAGCGUAUAUGUAUCAAAAUCCAUGAACAAUCAGCAUAAAAAAUUGAGAUAACAACUUCAGGGAAAACAUGCUUUGGCCGACAACUGAAGUGUAAAGGAAGAGGUUAUCUUACAUUGGCUUCUCACGGUGACAAUUCACGGGCUGCAGCGGCGGAUUCCGGCGAAGUAGUGGCAGCUUCAGUUUUCCUCCGCCACUUUCUUUUGCUCCAUUUUCCUUCUCAGCCGCAAGACUUCUGUUUUCGUCUCGUCCGCACUGCCCCCUUUUGGUCUCAUUUCCUUCUUCCCGUAGCUCUCUAGCUCUCUCCCAGCUUUCAGACCAGAAACCUCCUGCGUCUUUUGCCCCCCUGGUUACCUUUUUCUUCAGCCGUAGCUACCCUUUUGGUUUCUUUUCCCUUUUUUCAGACCAAGCUCCCUGUUUCCUUGUCCCUUCUUUUGUUUAAUUCUUCCCGAAUUCCCUCUGUUUUUUCUUGUUUUUCUAUUUUUCUUUGCUGCCUUUCCUUUUUCCCUCCGCCAAAACUCUCCCCUCUAUCAACUCCGCCGCCUCCCCUUACCCUCUAUUUUUUUUCUCAAAAACCUCCGUAGCUUUCUUUUGUCGCCCCCCCUCUGUUUCUUUCUUUUCUUCUAUUUUUUUUUAGCCUCUGAUGAAGCACUCCUCUUUUUUCCUCCCAACUGAAGCCCCCUGAAGCUAUUUUUCUUUCUUCCUCCCCUCCUGAACGUAGCUCCCUAUCUUUCCUUCCGUCCCUCCCCCCUUUUCCAACCCUAGCCGUCACAUCCUUCCUCCCUUCUUUUUUUUUCUAUAUCUUUUAAUCUAGGCCCCCAAGUGUCUAACAUCUAAUCCCUUAAGUGCUUAGUUGUCCAAUAUAUAAAAGGGACACUUGUCCUAAUGCAUGCCUCUCCACUUGUUAUUUUCACUCUUUUCCUUUUUUUUGUUCCUUUUUCUUUUUUCUUCUUUUUUCUUUUUUCAAAAUUUAGUGCUAAAAAACUCUUAAUUCAAUGAAAAUAGACAAGAGACACGAAUCAAAACAAAAAUAAAAUAAAAUAACAUAAUACCCUAAAAUCGAAACAAAUUAAAUUAAUUAAAUGAAUAAAGUUUGAAAUCAAAUUUGGUGUCUACAGUUUGCCCCUCUUUAUCUGAGUUUUGGGAAAAACUUGAGACAAAGAAGUAGACACCAAAUACUUACCUGUGUUAUUCGGCUACGAACGACUCGAACGACUGCCGUCUUUGAAAAUGAGGACUGACCUCCUUUAACAAAAAUUUUAAAACGGGACUGAUCCGAACGGGAAAUUUAAUCAUGGGACUGACCCGAAUGAAAAUUUAAAUCAUAGGACUGGCCCGAACAAAAAAUUUAAAAGGGGACUGACCCCAACAUCGAAUUAAAAUUGGGACUGACCCGAAGGGGACUGACCCCAAUAUGAAAUUUAAAUCGGGACUAACCCGAAGGGGACUGACCCCAACAUGAAAUGGCGGUGCAAAAGAAAUGCUCACUAGUGGGACUGACCUAUGUUUAGCGGCAAUGAAAAUGAAAUGUACAUUAAUGGGACUAACCCAUGUUCAGUGGCGGUAUAAAAUAAAAUGCAUGCUAAUGGGACUGGCCCAUGUUUAGCGGCAAUGAAAAUAAAGUGCUCACUGGUGGGACUGACCCAUGUUCAGUGGCAAUGAAAAUGAAAUGCUAGUAUGUAUGCAGAAACUGUACAAAAUUUACUUGAAGAAUCAUCCAAAAAUUUGCCCCAGUGAUGAAUUUGUCAGUGGGAUUAAACCCGAGCCUGCCUUUGACAAAUUGGUCAGUGGGAUAAAACCCAAGCCUGCCUUGAGAAGCGGUCGGUUGGUCAGUGGGAUCAACACCCGAGCCUGCCUUGAGAAUCGGUCAGUGGGAUUAGACCCGAGCCUGCCGUAAGAAUCGGUCAGUGGGAUAGCACCCGAGCCUGCCGUGAAAAUUGGUCAGUGGGAUUAAACCCGAGCCUGCCUUUGACAAAUUGGUUGGUUGGUCAAUGGGAUUAAACCCGAGCCUGCCUUAAGAAUCGGUCAGUGGGAUAGCAUCCGAGCCUGCCGUGAAAAUUGGUCAGUGGGAUUAAACCCGAGCCUGCCUUUGACAAAUUGGUCGGUUGGUCAGUGGGAUUAAACUCGAGCCUGCCUUGAGAAUCGGUCAGUGGGAUUAGACCCGAGCCUGCCGUAAGAAUCGGUCAGUGGGAUAGCACCCGAGCCUGCCGUUCAAUUAGCCCCAAAAAUUAAGUGUGAUUGUCAAAAGGGGAAAAUAGAAGGGAGUGCGGCGGACGCUGAAACAUUGCCAACAAGAAUUCAAUUUGAUUUUUCAAGAAACAAGAUUUUGAUUUUGAUUUUUGACUUUUGAUUUUUCCUGAUUUUUCUGACUUUUGAUUUUGAUUUUUUGGAUUUUCUAAUUUUUUAUUUUUCUUUGAAUUUUGAAAGAAUCUUGCCCCAGUGUAGGGCCCUUUUCCUUCUUUCUUCUCUUUCUUUGGUACCGGCCUUCCACCUCAUCAGAUGCUUCUUCGUCGAUUUCAGCCAUGAAUACCUGCACAGGGGACUUACCAAAGUACAAUAUGCGCUUAAAAUUAUUAUUAUUUUUUGAAUUGAUGCACCUACUACUCAUGUAAAGAGCAGCAUGAUUGAUUCAAAAUGAUAUCUUGCUUGACUCUUGGGCGAAAUCCUCAAAUGUGUUGCAAAAAUUUGCCCCAGUGUGGGCUUAUUUUUGUGAAAUCUUACAAAUAAAAAUUUUGCCCCAGUGUGGGCCCAUUUGAUUGCAAAAAUUGGUUUGGAUGCCUCUCUAUUUAUUUGAACAAAGUAAGAAAUUGUGUUUCCUAUAUAAUGUGAAGAAAAUUGAACUUCUUGCUUAAACUCAUACAGAAAAUUUCAUGAUGAAUUUCUCAAAAUAAUGCCAAAUUACAAAAGAUUUCUUCCUCACUUUAGCAUCGAUGCUUUGGGUAAUGGGUCACCAUUUCUUGUUGGCUCAUCUUUCAGGACCAAUCAAGUGGGGCGUUAUUUCUGAUUUGGAAAUGGGAGGUCAAGAUUUGUCUUAUUCUUGUGCCCAAAUUGUAUGUAAUCCCUUCAAUACCGCAUCUUAGUGAAAGCAAAUAGUUUGUCACCCCUAUUUCUUAAGAAAAUUUAGUCAACAUAUAAGCUUUAAGCUUGCAACAAAUGGGUAGAAACGAUAGCUAAACAUGUGAAAACUGGUUAUACCCUUAUGAUCAUGAGUGAUUGAUGGAUUUCUUAUGAGCAUAAUCCUCACUUUGGGUUGUCAUGAAGGAAUAAGUCAACGAUGGACUUUAUGAGCUUGUAAUGUGGCUUGAAAACGAUAGUUAAAGAAAUAAUUUUCAAGGACAUUGCACUGAAGAUCGCAUUUUUUCAAAAUGGCUCUCAUUUCAUACUCAAAGAUCUCGGACUUUGUUUGCAUUUUUCUCAUCACUCACCAGGGACUUCAGCGUCGAAUUUUUCUGUAUUUUUUCUCGCAUUUACUUUUCUUGCUUUGCUUUUGCUUCCUUUUCUUUUCCUCGACCUGGUGGGUUUUCUCAUGGUGAGUAGCGUCAACCCCAUACCCAAGCAAUUCAGAAAUACAGCUAAAAUUUUUCGGCAUCAGAAAUUUUCUUGACAGGGCCAUUGCAAAGAACAGAAGUCAGGACUUUCGGCUUUUGUAAUGGGUCAGGUGGGGUUCUUAGAAAAGUUAAGGCUUGAAAGCGGAUUUUCAAAAGUGGUUUAAAUGAUUUGAGAUCGUAUUAUUAUAUCAACCCUUUUUUAAGGUUAAAUCAUAACUUGCCCAGUUUAUUCUCAAUUGAGGCUCUUUUUUUCUCUCAUUUUUCUCUUUUCUCUUUUUUCCUUCGGCCUUCUAUCAUUCCUUUGAAAUUUUUCAAAAAUUUGCCCCAAUCUAUUUUUGAACUGAGGUUCUCUUUUCUCUUUUUCUUUUGAUUUUGUUGUAUUAUCACUCUUCACUUCUUGAAACUUUUCCCUUUUCUACUCAAACUUGCCCCAGUGUGGGGUUUACGAUUCUCAGGGUUGCCAAACGAAAUAAUUUAUUCUGAAGGCUCAAAAGGGAUAACUAGGGAUAGAAUGUCUGAUUGGAAAAGAAAAGGGCCUGACUUUUAUUCCGUUCCUUACAUUAACUCUGAAAGGAAACUUUCAUUAAUGGGAAGUUCUUACUUGUAUCUGAAUUAACUGACUGAGGAAGACCCUUAUUCAUCCAUAUCUGUGAAACAUAGGUGAUCCGCCGUAUUUUUCUUUUCCCUUUCUUCUUAUUUUCUUUUCUUCUCUUUUUUCAUAAUUGAAGCCCAGGUAGAAUCAAAUUUCCCCAAUUCGCGGUUCACUUUUUAGCAUUUUUGCUUUUUCCCCUUUUCUUCUUCUUUUUUUGUUUUUUUUUUAAUUUAGCAUUUUUCUUGCAAAAUUCCCCAAUCUCCUUCCUCAAUGUGGGGUGCGAUCAUAAGUGCAUUCGAAAAGAACCACCGAUUUUAGCUCAAAUGAGGAUGCAAGGGUAAAUGGUGUUUAGGUUGUAGAAACGAUGGCCAAAGUAUCAUUCUUACACCUCAUGACAACCAAAGUAACGAAAUGGUCAUUGAGAAUCCAUUCCCCUUUUAAUAUUUGAAAAUUUUCCAAUGUAGGGUAGUGAUCAUCAAGGCUCUUAUUUGAAACGAAAUUAUUCUUUUCAGGCUCAAGUGGGGAGCAAAUGAUAAUAAUCUGUAUAGAUAGAGAGAUGAACACUUGAAGUAUCAUUCCAAAUUUUCAAAACAAACAAGAAUAAUGUACAUUUUUGCUUUCACUUAGAUGUAAAUUGAAUAUAAUUAGACACAGUGGACAUUUCUCAAGCAAAGAUCGCCCCAAUUUGCAAUUUAUCAAUCAAUGUGACUGAUUUUAUUUUGGGGUUAAAUAGAGGUGGGCAAAAAUAGGAAUUGUACAGUGAAUGAGAAAAAGGUAUCUCAUUGGGUCUUAUUGUAUGGAUUUUAGAAAGCAUACACUUGUGAAUUUUCAGGUUAGAGGUUGAAAAAAUCUCAAUUCGGUCUUAUUUCUUCAAAUUCAUCAUGAAAUCCCUCAAAUAGCCAAGAAAGAAUGAAAUAUACAUUAUUAUAUACAAAUCAACAAUUGUAUAAAUAAAAAACUUUAUUGCUGAAAAUGUUUGAAACAAAAUUUCUACAAAUGAGAAGAGAAAAACUUCUAAAGAGCUCCACAUAUACACACUUGUUUGCCUCCUUUUCGGAACAGACUUUUUCUUUUCUUUGACAAAUAAUGAUGAAGACUCUUAGAGGCUUUAGCCUAGCGCUUCCAAAUAGAUCCUUCAUGUUUUCAUUGCAAGGUCUGCCCAAGGAUCAAAUAAUACUUGUAAUUUUCACACUUUAUUAGAUCAGAAUUGUUAUCAGAUAUAGAAAUAUAUUCUUUACCUUAUUGAAGCAUUUUUAUGAAUGCAGGGGAGGGGGAAAAACAAAAGAAAAAUACCCUGAGUUAGUAAGCAAGACUAUAAAAUCGAUAUGCAUGUCCUAUGGGGGAACCCUUUUAUGCCAAGGGUAGGCCUAGCAUGAAAAUGCAAUCCUCUAGGGUAGGCACCAUACAAUACCUGAUGGAUCUGAUCAACUUAUUUGAGUGAAAAAAUAAUUUGAAAUAUUUGGUCAAUUGAAGUGACGAGAGACAUUUGUCACAAUGAGGACAACGUCCGAAUGGAUCGAUCACUUCGAUCAAGACUAGAAGUUGGAAAAACGUACCGGUUUGACCUUGACGAACUUCCUAUCAGAGAGAUUGAAAUUCGUUGACAAAUUUUCUCAUGAAGCAUGGGUCAAAACCCCAACCGAUCAAAUGGUUGGAUACAAUGGAUGGUUUUCUCAAAAUCGACUAGGUUUCCCAAUUUGAAAUUUGACAUUGAAACCCUAAUUGGUCAAAUGGAUUUGAAUGAAACUGACAAUUUAUUCAAAAUCGAACGGAUUACCCAAAAAAAGUAAACGGAUCAAAUGAAUCGAAUGAAAUUGAAAAUGUAUUCAAAAUUGACUGGGUCACCCUAAAAGGGGUAAACUGGUCAAAUGAAUUUAAUGAAAUUGAUGAUUUAUUCAAAAAUCGACUAUAUUGUCUUAAAAUGAAUGAAUUGGCAAAAUGGAUCGAUUGAAUUGUCCAGCCAUUGGUGAUUUCAAAAUUAUUGAGAUGCAUUAGUCUAUGAGCCUCCUAAAAUCAAGAUUUGGCCUUUAUAUUUAUCGUCUCAACAAUGAGGAAUCAUUUGUGAAUUUCUUCAAAUUAAUGUCCUUUAUGCAAGGAAAUUUUUACCAAUUUUGCUUAAAAUGGCCAAAAGAUGAUUGUUAAAUGCCCAUAUUCUAAUGUGCAAAAAUCGCUUUGCCGUCUUUGAAAAGAUUGGAUCCUACCUUACCUCGUGCACUACCCCUUUGGAUGGUACAGGAAAUAUAAACGUGCAAGUCUCAUUGGAUUAUAUAUCCGAGACACAAGGUGGCUUAUUCCUAACACGGGAUCCCCUAAAUGGCAUUCCCUUCUAGGGUUUAUGCAUGAUGUCAUUUUAUCAAAGCGAAUAAAUAUGCAGUACACAAAGAAAACGUGACCUAAAGGAACCCACUUUUUGUAUGUCGGGGUGAGCCUAAAAUGAAAUGUAUUCAUGUUACAAGUGCGAAGCAUUGAAUUUAAACGUGUCACAUCAAACGGGGUAGGCUCCUAGAGAGUACCAUGCCAGGACUCUUAUUUCCUAGGAUUUAUGAAUGCAAGUGGAGACAAAACCAAAGAGAGUUAGUUUAAUCAGGUAUAACACAUAACACAUUGUAGCAAAGAAAUAUAAAGAGAUAAAAGGAAAAGAGGGGUUGGAUCCCUCUCCUCGUGGAUAGUGUCUGUAAUAAGGUGAGGCAGACUCUACACUAGGUAAACUAUCAUGGAUGCAUGAGGUAUUGGCUCACUAAUGCAUCUAGACUCGAUAGGCUUUAGGUCCCCGAGCCUUCAGACUUGGAAACCAAGGGUCAUCAAUCCCAAGGUUCCUUGUCGGUGGCUCGAGCGAUUCCCCAGACAUUGCUGCGCACACGUCGUGUCACGGCUACAUGUCUGAGUGAAUCUAUCAAAAAUCCCCGACCUUCGACUAAAAGCUAAAGGCUAUUAACCCAAAGCUUAAAGCGGAAGAUUGAGUGACCUCGGAUCAUGCUACGCACACGUCGUGUCGCGAUCACACUUCCAAGUGGGUCGCCUAAUCCUAAUAGGGUGGAGUGGCGUGACAAGCCACUAAAAGAAAAAUAAAUGAGGGGUACAAAAUUAAAACGUAUGCACGUAUGCGAGUGCUCGUUUAGAGGGAGGGAUCAAGAACCAAUGCGAGACUCUAGGGUAAUAUCCCCCACCCAAAUGCAAUUCAAAAUGCGGAAUCUCAUACAUAAACCAUCCAUCCAUCAAAACAAUCGUACGCCAAAUGGGUGAGUGAGCGAGUUGAUAGCGGCGAAAUGCAAAAAUCCUAAAAAAAGGAAAAAAUGCAACCCUAAACAUCCAAAUGCGAUAUAUGAAGAGUUAAAAAAAGAAAAAGAUUGACUAAAUCAAAAUUGCUCGAACUCUCUAAGUCCCCAGUGGAGUCGCCAGCUGUCGCGCCCCAUUUUUUAUAAGAAAAAUAAAUGAAUAAAUUAGGUUUUUAGAAUAAUGGGCCUAAUGGGACAUAGAAAAUGCGACGAUUUGACCCAAAAUAAAUUUAAAAAGGGUUUUGAAAUAAAAAUCGGAGUCGCCACUUGGUAUUGAGUUAAGGUGUACCAAGUCACCUAAAAUGAAUUUUUUGAAAAAAUAGAAAACCCUUUUUAAACGACUCCUAGUCUACGAAAAUCAAAGGAAAGGUUCGGGAGUCACAUUUGACGAAGGGGAAGGCAAGGAAAAAAAUCCAAGGCACCCCUUCGACCUAGCCAAGGCUAGUUGCGUGAUUUAGUCAAAGAUUUUUCUUGUUUUAACCAAAGAAUUUAUCACAUUUGGAUGUACUAUAUGAAUGCAAACCCUAGACCUAGGAGGGUAUCUGGGGGGUCAAAAUUUCUCUUCAAAGCUCAAUUGGUGCCAAUCACAUUAAUUGUGAUGCCCAAUGUGGACUCUUUGGAGAGGUCACGAAUAAUGUCAAAAUAUGGGAUUCUAAAAAAGGCAAGGGGAAAAAAUAAAAAUAAAAAUAAUAAUAAUUAUACAAAUAUACGUGACCUAAAGAAAUGCAUCAUGUCGGGUACGGGGGACUAAUGUUAGUGACCCAAUUUUCCCUUUAACAGAGGGAAUACGAGCGUGCUAAGGCCAGAGGGCCAAACUCGUCCAUAUCCCAUACUCAAGGGGUAAUCUCUAGUCUAAUCAGGAAAAAUGCACUAAUCUACCCGCUAAUUUCCUAAAUGAGAUGCAAAUCUAAAUGUUAUAUAUACAUAGGGGUAAGGGAUAUUUUAUUAGAGGAAAUAUUAUGUGAAAAUGAUAAAGAUCCUAAAAAUGAAAAAAUAUGGGUAAAGUGUAAUGUAAUCAUACAAACAUGAUCUAGCGAGGGAGGUCCCUAAGGGUCUAGCGUUGGACUAGCCCUUAACUAACGUUCUCUCACAAGCAUUGGACUUGUAAGAGCUCGAAGGGAAAACCAUGACUAGCAUUGGACUAGCCACGGUAACGUACAUUCCAUCCACAUAAUCAGAUAAAAUAUUAAAAGCAAAUAGGCAUACAAAAGCACAUAGUUUCACAUAGCACGUAUCUCAUAAGCAUGCUUAUCUAGAUGCAAAAACCUAAGGAAAGCGAUUAAACACAUAGGCAUAUAGGCACACGCAAACACAUAGCACACAAGCCCUAUCUAUUACACUUGGGGAGGUCCUACUACAAUCUAAGGGGGAAAAGAAAUAAAUAAAUAAAAUAAUAACCUAACUAUUAAAACCUUGGCAUUAAAUUGCCUUUCAAAUAAUCAAAUUGAACUAAAAUAAAUAUGCAAAGCCAAUAAAUAAAUAAAUAAAUAAAUGAAUAAAUAAAACAUUCAAGAGGCAUACAAUCAAACAUGUAAAGUCACAUAGGGCACGUAGAGUCAAAUAAAGUAAGAAUAAGGGAUAGAGUGUACCUCCCUUGAGUUGAUGCUCUAAUGGGGUGAAAUUACUUAUUUACCCUCCAAAAUAAAAAAAAAGGUCAAGGCAUCACUUUAAUUAACAAAUAACCACAAAAGAUAAAAAUGAACAUGAAAUUGAAUCAAUUAAAUCAUGUAAACAACCCACAUUUAGGAAGUUAGAAGAAGAAGGGACUUAAUUGCAACAAAUUAACAAAAUUUAGGGGCUAAAAUUAAAGAAAAAAGAAGUCUAGGGACCUAUUUGCAAUUAUAUUAAGCACCCAAUUGAAAGAGAACUAAAAGUUUUUAGGGUCAUAGCAUAAUUAAGAAAAGUCUGAGGAUUGAUUUGCAAAAUCGUUUUCUGGUUUCUUAAUGGACCAAGCCAUUGGGCCAUUUCCUUUAUUUGUUUGGGCCAAAGCUUCCCAGCCCAAUGGAAAUCCAAAACAAAAGGGAAUGGGCCAUUUUAUUACAUUGACUCAAAGAAUAAUCCAACAAACUGAUGGGCUUCAACCCUUCAGCCAAUGUUUUGAAAACCGGACCGGAUCGGCCGGUUCGACCGGUUGAACGCGAACCGGCCAUGGCACCGUCCAGUUCAAUAACAUUGUUGACUUUGGCUAGAAAACAAGUCAAAGACCGGUUGAACCGUGAAAACCGCCGAACCGGAUUGAACCGGCGAUUUUCCGGUUUUCAGCUUUCCCUCUUUUUUUUUUUUUUUUUUUUUAAGUUUUGCAAAAUGCAACUAUCAAGAUUCAAACCCAAGACCUUUGUAAUAAAAGACUAAUGUAUUAACCGUUGCACCAUCACAUCUUAUUAGUUUUUUUUGAUAACUUAUUUAUAUAAAGCAAACACUCAUAUUUCUUUUUUCCAUUUUUCUUACAAAAUCUCAUCCCCUCAUGGCUCUUUCUUUUUAAUUUUCAACUCUCUCUCUCUCUCUCUCUAUCCUCUUUUCUUUUGUCACUCCCUUUUUAAUCAAACCUCUUUAUUUUUAAUUUAUUGAUGUUUUCUUCCAUCUUUUAAUUUUGUUUUUGUCCAUUAAAUUGAAAAAAGUUAAAAAAGAAUUUUUUUUAACCCAAAUUAUUUAAUGCCACAACCACUCACUUUUAUCUUAUUUUUUGUUUCUUAUCAAGUUUACAUUUCUAUUUUCGAUUUUCUGACUUCCUUCGAACUCCAAAUUUUCUUUUUUAAAUUGCAAUCUCUAAAUAACAAAACGUAAAUUAAAAUUUAAGUUCAUAAUAUCUAAAUUCUCAGAGACAUGAAUUUUGUAUAAUUUCAAAAUAUUGUGAUAUUUUGGGGUUGGAUUUAGAUAUAAUUGAAAUUGAGAUGAAUUUAUUUGUUUUAACUUAUAAUUUAAAAAAUUUAUUUUUAAAAAUCCAAGUUAUUAAAAAAUAGUAAACUUUUCAUCAUAUAAAAUAUUAAAUUAGUCCAUUACAUGUCUUAUUUGUACAUAUAUAUAUUUAUAUAAAUUAUUUUUUAAAAAAUUCAUUGAACCGAGGUUGAACCGGUCCGACCGGUUGAACCUCGACCCUUUCACUUCACCGGUUCAAUUAACGGUCCGGUUUUUAAAACAUUGCCUUCAGCCCAGGACAAACCCAAAUAAAAAAAAACCUAACCCAAAUCCAAGUAACCCAAAUAAAUAGCCAAAUCCAAUUCCCCUUCUAUUUUACCAAAACCCAACAAACUAAUGGGUGAACUAAAUAUUUAAAGCCUAAUUUUAUUCCAAAAUCCAGAAUUAAUGAACUAAAGAAAACACACGUAAAACAUAAAAAAAAAUUUAAGCUUGAAAGAGGUAAAAACGAUUUAUUUGCAGAAGGUUUUGGGCCUUAGUGCAACAAAGAGGGACUUGGGGGGCCAAAGUGCAAUUUUUAGAAAUUAUCAUGCAAACUUCCUGCAAAUUCUACGAGAAAGCUUUCUGCAACAAAAUUUUGCAGCUCAUGAAGCUUCCCUCAAUCGUUUCUGCUACCAGAAUUGCAACUUCAACUCACACAAAAUUCAUACCCACACUCAUUACCUAUCCACAAAUCAUUGUUUUUAACAAAACCAAACAUGAAUUUUCAACUUUGAUGAUCCCCUCGGAUAAAACCCGAGCCAAGAAAACAAGGACAAAACAUGAAAAUGCAGCAAAAAGAAACUUCAUCAUCUGCUUGCAACGACCAACCAAAACAUGCAACAGAAAACAUUCCACUCUUUGACCAAACGUUGAACUCUUCAUAAGGGAACCAGAAAAGCAAGCUAUGUUUAUAAAUCAAUAAACUCGAAAUGAAGCUAAUAGCACUUUGAAAGUGCAGAUUUUUGCAACAUGGUAAAAGACUUGCGAAAUCUGCCUUAGGCCACUUUGCAAGUCAGAUCUUCAUAGCUUAUAGUAAUUUUAUACCAGUAUCCUAAUUACACAACAAGAAAAUCAAGUAUUUGGAGUAACUAUGAAUUUCAGCAACCCAAGAUGACUAACGAAUCAUGCGGCAGCUUCCUCUCUACCAUUUCAGCAUGCAUGGGACAGAAUUUAUAAGCCCCAAUGGAGCAUGUAGACACACCAACUAAUGCCCCAAGACUCAAACCGAGUCACUUAAACAAAAUCAUAAUACAAAACCAGAGUUCCAGUAGCUGCUUUUCCCCAAAAAAAAUCCAUGGCCAAAACAAUUUACUCCUCUAAAAAUUAGAAACAAACAUUGACUUAAGUACCAAAACUGAUGAAUUAGGCUUCUGGAAAAGAUCAUACAUAACAGAGGUGACACAAGACAAUCUUAUUGACAUCCGAAAACAAUACGUCAGCAAACCAAAGGGGAAAACAAAGGAACUGCUGCAACAAGCCUAACUCACUGACUUGUCCGAUUUCUUUCGAACGUAAAAAAAUGCAACAAAACCAUCUUUCAACAAAGAAUUUUCGGCUAGACAUUUCAUCGAACAGAUUGGGGGCAUUAAAAGUUUCAUCAGAUUUUUGCUCAAAUUGAAGUCAAUCAGCCCCAAAAUUGUUCAACAAACAAGAGAUUUUAUUCCAAUUUACACAGAAAGCGUAUAUGUAUCAAAAUCCAUGAACAAUCAGCAUAAAAAAUUGAGAUAACAACUUCAGGGAAAACAUGCUUUGGCCGAUAACUGAAGUGUAAAGGAAGAGGUUAUCUUACAUGGGCUUCUCACGGUGACAAUUCACGGGCUGCAGCGGCGGAUUCCGGCGAAGUAGUGGCAGUGUGACAGCCCCACCUCCCCCUAAGGCGUACCAAAGGGUUCGGCGGACCGCCUGCCCACUCUCGCCAGGACUCACUCACUCGUAUCUUACGCAUACAUCCAUAGACAAGAAAUAACAUCGCAAUUCAAACUUAUAAUAUACAUCGAAACUCAAAUCCAGAUACAAAGCUUCUACAUACCAAAAUACUUCAAAGUGUUUACAAUUCGAGUACAAUCAACCCUGGUCGGGUACUAGCACAAGUACAAAUUCAAAAUUCAAAACAACUAGACUACGCUAGUCGGUACAUGUCUCACGCCUCGCUCGUACCCCCUGUAAGGAAAACAAAUGGAGUGGAAUGAGCUAAAAGCCCAGUGAGGUUCCAAAUAGCAAGUUGACCAUUAUUUAAAGUACACGUAUCAACGUAGCAAAAGAUAGCGAGCAUAACAAGUUCAUAAAAGUGAACACUAACACUUCAAGUAGCAAAUUUCCAAAUGACGAGUGUAAAGUGCUUUUGGUUUUUAAAGAAACAAUAAUCCAAUAGGCAAUAAUCAUUUCCAAGUAUAAGGAUACGGAUGGCUCUCAGGAGCCAAGUUCCCAUUGCUUCACCAGAGCUUGAUCAAAUAUUAGUUGACACUCCGUCAACUUUCAAGUAAAGUAACCAAUCCAGUAGAUCACCACUUAACUCCAAUCUCCGUCCACCAACCAAACCCCUUACCGGGCCCGAACUCCAAGAUAAACACUGGUGGUAAUACUCGAGUAUACCGAUUAGUCGAGGAGAUAACACUCCACUCGACAACACUAGAUACCCAUGGUUCAUUAUCUAAUCGACCAGGCCCUUGCCGGCUCGACUCGAUUAACUAGCCAAUGGGGUUUGGGUCCCCAAAAAGUCGAUGAGAUAACACUCCAAUCGACUGAAUCAAGAUAAAAGUACGGAGACGGGAAUGAGAGGUACCUCCCACUCAGAUCGAGUGUGGUACAUACUGCCGCUCAGUACUUACAAGUCACGUACAAGUAUCUCAAAUCAAUUGCAACAAUAAACAAGUACAUAUCACAUUAGGGCAAGUGCGAUAAAGUACACCCUUGCUCGUCAUACCAAUCACAUAUCAUUCGACCAUAUUGGUCAAAUAUUAAAACUAGUGUCCAGUUCAAUCAGGUAUUUGGAAGCACUCACCAAAGGUCUAGUGCCUCUCAAAAGUCACAUUCAGGUCCAACUCCUUGGUUGGAGUCCAAAUCUGCGAUAAAAUAUCAUUUAUGCAUGUAAAACUCUCUAAAGUUCGAAACAUAGGAGUUUCGCUUCAAGAAAAUCAAGUAAAUGCAAAUCGUUUAAGUGGUAUUCACGAUACUUAUCAAAUGCCGAACAAUUCAUGCUCGCUCUUAAACCUUUGUAACUUUGAAGCAAUUAUACUUUGAAAUACCAUUUGAGUCGAAGAAAUGGAGAAAACGUAUUUCUAUUAGUCGUAAUUUUCAUUUUUCCAAGGGUACAAGUUUCGGCCGAAUUCUAACUCAUAUACCUCGAAAAAGAAGACGCAAAUAUUCUAGAUGGUUCACGUGGUAUUCGCUCUCAAGCCUUACUCGAGUCGCAAGUAUAUCUACCUAGCCCUCGAGUGCAAAUUUGGGCAGCACGCCCUUGGUAUUUACCUAUUUUCCAGCCAUUUAUGGCUUCAUUCUUUUUCUCAAUCAGCCCCAAAACACAUAUAAAUAAUCUCAUCACAAUAGUCGUUCAAUAGGCUAAAAGUCAUCCAAAUACAAGGCAAUUCUAGCAAGUAAGCUUCACUUGGAAAUUCGAAAAGAGUGGCUAAAAGCUAAGUACAAGUCUUGACCGUUUUAAUUAAGAUAACUUGUUAAAAGAGUAAAACUUUGAGGAAAUAAGAGAUACAUUAGCGAGAGAAGUUCAAUAGGGGUACAUUUGAAGUCAAGGAAGUGGAAAAAUCAAGGUAAGAGGUUGGAAGUAGGCCGUCCGAGGUUUUAAAGUCAAGAAGCCUGUUUCUCUGCUUUAGGAAUCUACCGAGAUGAAUAGUAACAGUAAACUUUAAAAAUUCGCAACUCGAGUUCCACAAGUCAAAAAAUUAUGAAAGUUAUACCGUUGUAAAAUAGAUUUUUAGUACUACCACAUCCCAGAAGACACUUUUUAGAGAUUAAAAUCACAAAUAGGCCAAAUAUUCGAUCCAAGUCAAAAAUUCAUUUUCCUGAAGAAACAGGACAUUCAAGCAGGGCAGCCUACUUUGAGGAGUCACGGACAGCAGUACACAUGGUAGAAAAAUAUGAAAGUUUUACAGAACAAAGGCCCAUGAGUCUAGUUUCAAAUGCCACUGACGGCACCUCAAUCGGAUUUUUCUACACCAAGAUAUAAGCAUUUUACUGAAACUGGUCAGUGAAAUCCGAAAAUCUGGAAACUCAAUUUCACUUGUGAAAAACUCUUUUUUCUCUUUUAAAACCACAAGACUUUUAUUCCAACCACCCAUACAUUAAGUAUGACAUUCAUACCAGCAAUUGUAACAUAAUUUAAGCAUCAAAUUUCAACAAAAACCAAAGAUAUACGUAUAUGCCAAGUUGAAAGUUUUGUAAGAUGUGUAGACUAAGAUUAAAUCAUUUUCUAUUCAAUAGUCAUGGAUUCUAAGUUGUUUGUAGUUUGGGUUUUGUUCCACUACACCAAUGAAUAGCAACCAGACUAAGCCAACCAUCAUGCAGCUUAACUGCACCAAUGAAUAGCAAUCUAAAGUUUAAAUACCCACUUCCGCAAAACAUUGACAUGUUUUAUAAAAGGAGAAAAUUUGAACUUCACUACCAUUAUUCUUAUACGGAACCUGGUCAUAUAUCUAAAAUGGAAAUUAAUCAUAUACUGUGUCCUUGAAGAGCACUACCUAAGGAACCAAGAGACAUAGAUAUUGGCACCCAAUCCGUAGUAUAUUGGUUUUCACAGCAGCUCUCUCUUUGAAGCAUCUGACACGACUUCUAUUUCAGAAACUCACCAUUGUUAUCUAAAAAUAAAGCCAAGAGUGCAGCAUAGCAACUAGAACAACUUAUAUACGACUUUCACAGCUAGUAAUCCUAUAUAACCUGAAGUAGAUAUAUUUCAUACUUCUGCUAACACGAGUCUUCAAGGAAAUUCCAGUUACAAGCGUUAAAAUUCUAGCUCCUUAGCCUCGGUCAUCUCAGAAAUUUUCCAGCACCCAAUCAGCCUUUAAUCUAAAUUUUCUUCAGCAAGGUUCAUUCUUAGCUAAAGUCUAACAUUCAUGUCCAUAUACGUGAACUAGAGAGUGUAUAUCAGUCAUGCACAUAAGAAACAAUCAGAAAAUCUCAGCUUAGCUCAACAAUAUCACAUAACAGCUUCUAUUGAGCAUUUCCAGCACUUGGUCAGUAUUUUAAUCUUUAUUUCUUCAGCCAAACCUCUUAUAAACUUAAGGUAAAUGUAUAACAUAUGUUUCCUAUCAUUGGUUUUCCAGAAAUUUCCAGCAAUAAAUCCAGUCUUUACAACCAAUUUCUACUUCAAUCCAACCUCAAGGAAAUAUACAUCAAAAGCCCUCUAAAGUAUGUGAAAGAAAUUAAAGUUCCAAGUCAUGUUACCUUUAAAACAAGCUAGAAGUUAACUCCCCUGUUUUGGUCCUUCUACUCGAUCAAACAAGCUGGAAAUGGAAACAAGACUCAAGCUUCCUUUCAGUUUUCUCUCGCUGGUUGCUCUUGGCUGAAGUGGAAACAAAACAAGGGAAAUUUCUUUGUUUUCCCCAAAUUUUCUCUCGGCUGGAAGGUGGGUGCAAGCCACAACCUUUUCCUCUCAACUCUCUCUACUCUCUCUCGGCUAAGGUGGGACAAAACAAGUGAGCAGUCUUGUUUGUCUUUGUUUUUCUUUCUCUCGGUGGUUGAGCUAAAGAAAAGAAACA
rnacentral:lncRNA from 1 species